ACUCAAAGGCUCUGCAUCCGGGUGGCUUGGCAGGGGUGUCCUCUGGAGAUCCAGCGGUCGGCGGGGUCGGCUGGGAGAGGCUGCCGCCACCAUCAGGUCACCGAGGUCUUGCUCUGUUGUCCAGGUUGCAGUGCAGUAGUGCAAUUACAGCUCACUGUAGUCUCAAUCCCCUGGGCUCAAGUGAUCGUCCCUCCUCAGUCUACCAAGUAGCUGGGACUACAGGCAUGCACCACCACACCCAACUAAUUUUUGGACUUGUUGUAGAGGUCUAUGGUUUCUUAGACACGCGUGGAUUCUCACAGCCACCACCACAGACAGUACAAGCAACAGUUCCAAUACUCCAGAGAACGCCCUCAUCUCUCCUCACCCCUGCCUUCUGGCAAGCAAUGAGCUGUUCUCUGUUCCUGUAUUUUUGCCUUUUCUAGAAUGCCAUAUAAAUGGAAUUAUAUAGAAUGUGCCCUUUUGGUACUGGCCUCUUUUGUUCAAAAGAAUAAUACCUUUGAGAUUCAUCCAUGCUGUUGUUUGAAUCAAGCAUGUUAACUUUUAUUGCUGAGUAGUAGUCCAUUGUGUAGAUAUAUUACAGUUUUUUAAAAAUCUACCCCUGUCGAAGGACAUUUGGGUUGUUUUCAGUUCUUGGUGAGGAUGAACAUUUGUGUGCAGAUUUUGUGUGGACUUAAAAUCUUGACUUCUUUAAAAUACCUAGAAGUGGUCAUUGCUGGGUCCUAUGUAUGUGAGAUCUCAACUGUAAGUUUCCUCUCCUCUGACAACUGUGCCCCAUCCACAUGGUUCCUUUCUCUAACAUAUCACACUGACCACUGUGACCUCACUAAGACCUCCAAUUCACUGAGCCUGCCAUUUUUUUCAUUGAUCAUGAACCUAUUCAUUUUUUCUUUCCUUCUCACACAACUUAGUGAUCCAUCGUAAUAGUCAUCCUACUGGAAACUUUCCUCACUCCCUUAAACAUACCGUCCUGGCUGAACCACAACCUGGUAAACUCAACUACCCACCCAUUCAGUCUCCAUUAGAGUAGAACAGUGUGGCUAGAAGAAAACACAAUUGUGCCAUGGGCCAGUUCAUGACCAUAAAUCUCACCUGAGCUUCUGAUACUGAUCAUCGAUCAGUCUGACCUUCUAGUGACUAUUUCAUACUUGUAUCUCUUCAAACCUCUGACAGCCUCAUAUAUCACUGGGGAAAUAGCGAUCAGACUAGAGAUUGCUUAUUAUCCUCCCACCACCAAUUCCACCUGACGGACUAAGGCUUUACUCUCUUCUCUGCCUUCCCCCUUUUAAAACGAUGAACUGUCCAUGCUUCUGUCUGAAGCCAGCCCCUCGAUGGUGCAGUGGAUUCCAUCCGUGCCCAUCCCACCUUUUCAAUCAUUUUACUUCUGCAAUUAUCCCCCCCUUUCCUGUCUUCAUCAACUUUCUGCCAUCACCGUAUAUACGUUUCCUAAUGUAGCUCAUCUUCAAAAAUGAUGUCCCUCCUGGCUCCCCAAAACCAGUAACUUUACAGUGGAGAGACCUGACAAAACACCUCAGCCAGGUGAUCAAGGCAACGAGUCAUGACGGCGGAAUGUACCCUUGCUGUGAUGUGAGGAGGUGAUAAUGGCACUGUACCUCUUUGGUCUUCCUUUCCAAAACCCACAACCUCUGUCCAACCAGAAAAACACCAGACAAAUCCAAAUGGAAGGAUGUUCUACAAAAUACUUAACUAGCACUCCUCAGAAUUGUCAAGGCCGUCAAAAGUGGGGAAAACCUAAGAGAAGCCUAAGGAGACGUGACAAGUAAAUGUAAUGUGGUAUCCUGAAUAGGACCUUAGAACAGAAAAAGAAAGAUAUUAAGUAACACUAAAAACUGGAAUAAAGUACAGGCUUUAGAUAAUAAGGUACCAAUACUGGUUCAUUAAUUGUGACUUAUGUACCAUAGUAAUGUUAACAAUAGAGGAGGCCAGGCACGGUGGCUCACGUCUAUAUUCCUACCGCUUUGGGAGGCCGAGGCAGGAGGAUCACUUGAGCCCACGAGUUUGAGACCAGCCUGGGCAACAUAGGGAAACCCCGUCUCUAUUCUAAAAAUAAAAUAAAAUAAUAGAGGAAACUGAGUGCAGGGAACUCUUAUAAUGGUCUCACAGCCUUUCUGUAAACCUAAAACUAUUCUAAGAUAAAAGUCGAUUAAAUAUGAAACCACACACACACACACAUACACACACACACACAUAUACACUCCCACACACUCCCCUGACCCAUGUCAUCCUCUUGCUCCACUCCAUUUCCCUGCUUUCCUGCACAGGGAACCUUCCCAAACGAGUUGUAUAUUGCUACGGUCUCUGUUUCCCCACUCCAGCCAGCUCAUUCCUCAGUCUACUCCAAUCUGCUGUCCUUAGCUCCCCACCAAACCUGCUCUUGUUAAGGUUGAUGGUGAGCUCCAUGUUGGCAAAUCCGAGUCAAUUUUUUUCCCCUUCCCUUACCUUUCAGUCUAGUGUGUGUGUAAUGCAGUUCACUAUGCCCUACUUCCCGCAGCACCCUUAUCACUUGGCUUUUGAGAUACUAUACCCCUGGAUUUCUUUCUGCUCCUUGGGUGCUCCUGCUCAGUCUGGCUUCUACCAGUGGCCUAGGUUCUGUCUCCCGACCUCUGUUCUUUGCACUUCUAUCUCAGAGGCAUAUUUCAUCCCAGCUCAUGGAGUUAAGUACAAUUUACCUACUGCACAUACCCAAAUUUGUAUCUCCAGCUUUAAACCCUAUGAGGUAGGGACUGCUGUCACCACCAUUCUACAGAACAGCAGACUUAGGCUAUCAGAUGUUUAAGGGGCUUCCUUGAGGUUACACAGCAGGAAGCAGCAGGGCUGGGAUUUGAACCUAGGUCCGUCUGACUCUAGGUCUGUGUUGUGAGUUGCCAGGCUGCCCGGCCGCCCCCUCCUUCCCAGCUCCCGUCCUGCCUGCCCCCCAGGGCCUCUUGCAUGUAUUGCUCAUUCUGGCCUCAGGCCUUUGUCUCCCUGGUCCACUUCUCCUGGAAUGACCUCUUUUCCCGCUGCCUGUCUAAUCCUCUUCCAUCCCAGCUCUGGUGGGAGAUUCUUCACUCCUAAGACCCAGGCUGAUCUCUGCUGGCCUCCUCUGGACAUUUGCAGGAGUUGAAGUCCACCCUAAAACAACCAAGGGCUCAUUUGCAUCAAUAGUUAUCAUGCUUUCUGAACCCGCGAUGGGACCCUUGGCCCAAGUACAGCUGCACCCGCGGGGACGCGGAAGCACGUGAUCUAAUGCUUGGACUGGCUGGGAAAACUGGGCCAUGGGCCUCCAUCAUCCCACACCAUCUCAGACAGGGUCUCAGUCAUCCAGGCGGGCUUUGUUUGGUUCCCCUACUAGCUGGGAAGCUUCUAGAAGGAAGGAUCAUGAUUGCCGAAGAAGUAUCAUUUUUAAACACUGUGUAUUAGGUGGGGCUGGGGAAGUACUUCAAAAUCCUUUUCUCCUGGGUCCUGGGGGACCAAGAAAAGUUCAGUCUAGUAGUGAAAGAAUUGAUUUAGACUUCAUUUGAGGUCACAGAGAGGCCAAGCAGUUCCCACAGGGGUCGCUGAGCUCAGAGGAAUGUUUGGAAGAAAUGGGGGUGACAGGAUCAUUUUUGGAAGAACUGAGAGUGCCGGAGGGAAGUGAGGAGCAGGAGGCUGGAAGGAAGAUUUGGGAAGGGCCAUGUGGGAGGCCCAGUGCUGGCUGAGACAGUGAGCGGUGACCUCUGGGGCAGAGAACACAGCCCUUUCACUUACGUGAGUUCAGCCCCAGUUCCCAUGAUGCUGGCCUGGGCUCUGGCCCCCACCCUGCCACUAACUCCCUGUGUGACUGUAGGCAAGUCGCUUUGUUUUCCUGGGCAUCAGUUUCCUCAUCUCUAAAAUGAGGAGGUUGAAAAAAAGAAGUGAUGGGGUUGGGCGACAUUGUUUCUCAGCCCCUCUCAGCAUCUGAGAUAACAUCCUGUGCUGUCUUACCCAGGGCCACUACCUCAGGGAAGGAAGAGCCGGGUUAACCUGACUGUUCUUCUGCAGGCCUCCUGGUAAAAGUUUCUUUUUCACAAAAAAGCAGUCUCUUUUGUGCGGGAUCCAGGAGAGGAAGGAUGUUAAGUGGUUGAAUCUUGCAUGUUGUAAAAGAAAUGAAUCUGCAUUUCCGUGAUCUCCAGAAAAAAAACAGUUCAUUCACUCUCCACCCCCAUCUGAACAUGGGCAUCAAAGCCCAUGCUGCGGAAUGGGAUCAGUUUUGCCCUGCAUGAUCAGAAGGGGCAGGGUUGGCCCUUCUCUACUAGGUAGGGCCUUCUGAGGUUCCAGCCUUGGGUCAGAGUCCCUCUCCCAGAGAGAUUCCUCAUCCAUAAGCCAGCCAACCAAGACAAGUGCUGAGAUGUUGUCACAGCCCACCAGGGUUUGCUUGCCUAGAGGGGAAUAUAUCUAGCAUCAGGAGGACCCCCAAUGGCUGAACGAUUGCUGAUUCUGCUCGGGCCCCUACCUUGGUCCUUGCACAUCUGGUCACACAGGCAUGUACCUACUCCUGAGUCACCUACAUUUUGAAAAUACAAAAUCGGGAGCAUUUAAGUCAGUCUUCACUGGAUUGCUUGAGGCAAAACAUGAAGCAGUGAUGGCUUGUGUGGGUCUUGUGUCUUGUGCUUGGAGGCUGAGCUCCUCUGACCCAUCAGGAACAAUGGCUUCGUUGUGUUCCUGGCUUGCUCUGGCUUGCUCGCUGGACUUGGAAGCAAGAGGAGCUUUGAGCUGCCCAGCACCCCCAGGAGCAGGAGGGUAUAAUCAUGGCCCAAGGACAGCACUGUGGACCCCAUGGGACCCUGCAGUUGUUAGGGGGCUGGGAUGGAUAGCACCUUUCCAGGCCUGGAUCCUGAAUUAGCCAGUGCUUAGAGGCAACUCUGCUCCUGAAGGAUGGGCUGAGAUGUGUCAGUCACAGAAAAGCUUCAGAAAAGAACAGGUGAUGUUUUCAGGAAGUCCAAGAUGGCAGGCAAAGGUGGGUAGGAACCUGGCAGAGCCCAGAAACUCCAAUCUGAAGGUCCAGGCCCCAAGAUUUGGAAGAGAAGAGUAAGCAAAAGAACCAGAAGGAGGUCUAAAGGCUAAAGUAAUAAAGACAUGAAUUUUCUAUUUAGAAAUGAGAACAGGGUCCUGUCAUAAAAUCAGCCUCCCAGCCAUCAGUCUAAGGUGUAAGAGGAGAGACGCACUGGCCAGGAAGGGGUUUCAGUUUCAUUUCUCCCAUCAACAAGCUGUGACUUGCUUAAGUCAUAAGAUCCUCAGUUUCAGCUGUAGAAUGGGUGCCCAUGGCAUUGCUUAGACCUAGGAUCCAGUGAGCUAACAAGCUAACAAACAUGUGAGACCAUACUAUAUGGACCAAAUGCUUAGGCAAAGUACAUGCUGCUGGAAUGGCUGGUUCUAGGGUAGACAGUGAGAGCGCAGGCUGCUGCACGGUCUCUCCCCUUGCCCCCAUCUCUCCAUGGAGACAAAGGUCUGCUCACAAGCAGGUCAUGAUCUGGAAAAGUGAAAUUUGAAUUGGGGAACAUAUCAUGCUCAUGUCCAGUUCUGGGCUUUCACUGUGCUCUGUCUCUGGCCGAGGGGAUCUCUGCUCUUCCCAAUCACAGUCUACCUGGGAAGACCCUACUCCAGCCCAGCCGCCUCCAAAUUGAAGUCCUAAUGCCCAGGCUGCCCCUUUCCCUUCGGGACCUCCAUCCCAAAGUGCACUAUGUGAAUAUACAGAACAGUGUGGCUCUCAAACGACUUCAUGUAAUUUUCUGAAAGCAGAGACCAUGACUUCUUUCCUUGGGUUCCCCAUAGGAUACAAAAAAUGGCCCCGAGGCACAUAGAUAGAUAGAUAGAAAAAUACUUGCAGAAAUAUGGAAGAUACAAUAUGAAUUUUCAGACUUAGGCAACUACCAAGUAUUUAACACAGUCUUUCCUUCACCAGUCUUAUCAGCUCACUUCAGUAGUCUCAUAAAGGUCUGUGCUAAUGUUCAAUUUAUAUGAACGACUUAAUACUUCACUUUACAUUGGCAUAGCCCAUGAUAAAUCCACAGGAAAUAAGAGCCACCAGCAGUGGUAGGAUCAGAAUACUUUAAUAAGAUACCAGUGUCAAAAUACAUUUCCUUAUAAAGUUAAGCUCCCAUACAGUUAUAAUGUUGUCAGUAGGAAUUCGACAAUAUAAUAACGUUCAUGAAAUCGUUACGUUGACAGGUAGGGUUAAUAUGAAGCUUGGAAUAUUUUUCAGUGUUUUAGUAAAACUGCAAGGGUAAAAUGCCCUUAAUGCCAGGGCAACACACACAGGAAAUCAAAUACCAGCAUUUACACGUCAGUAACCCUUCAAGUUCUGCCACCCUGUGUGGGGUAAUGCCGUGCAGCUAAAAUAUGAUUUACGCAACACCAUGACUAAGGAAUUUCUCAUAGAACUUAAAUUUCUUUUGAAAGCUAUUUUUUGUUUUUGGCAAUAAGUCUAUCCGGGCUUACUAAAUAGUUGGCCCAAUGUGCUUUGUGUGUGUUUUUAGAAACUUCUUCAUUGUACCCAUUACAGAAAAGUUCCAUGUAAUUGGUAUUGAAAAACCAGAGGUGUCGUCCCUCUUACCCAGGGAGUUGCAAAGUGCUCUGGGAACACUAUUUUCAGUGCUUCCUACCUACAUGUCACUGACCGACCCAGAGACCUCAGCCAGGGCCUGUGGCUAGGGGCCAUCCCUGGAGGCCUUGCGGGGCCAUCUGGCUGCCGGCUGAGUGGGGGCUGCAGGGCUGGUCUGGACCAGCUGCUCUCCCGCUGUGCAGCCUCCUCCUCAGUCCAGCUCCACGGGGCUCCAAGGUCGUGAGCUUGGAGGACGUGGACGGGGUCACUAUACCAUUUUUGACCCCUCAUUUGCAUGAAUUCCCGUCUAAACCAUCUCAUGGUAGUUCUGGAAAUGUCCAAAUGUGCCGUGUGAAAGACCAUCCGAGUCACAUAGCUCAGUGCACUUGAAGGGCUAGCAACAAAACCUUAAGAAAAGUUAGAGCACUUCCCCGCCCCACCCCCCGACCCCACAACGUGCCAUCAGACCCUCUUGGCAGCAAUAAUAAUAAUACAUACAUACAUAGUACAUAGAGAAUGUGAGGGGAUAGCGCGCAGUGCUCCCGCUGAAUGACUCCACUGCUCGGAUUGUCACACCUAUGGCAUAUCACAGAUGGCAAAAAGCCGACAGAGGGAGGCCUUCCACAGUGUCCGUACAGGCCGUGGGAGCACUGGACAAGUCUGCAGUGUCCACAACACUAAGAAAAAUUAACAGCUUCGAAAAGAUCUUAAAGUGAUUUUGUGAGCAGGAUUCCAUUUCCGUUUCUAAGUUUUUAGAUAUUACAAAGUACCCAUAUAUAUGAUAAACACUUAACCCAGAUAUAAAUUUUCUCCUCUUUUAAAAAACUCAGUUAUGUUUUUGAAUAAUAAUAAAAAAUCCACCAAAUGCGGGGGAAAAACACCAGUUUAGGAAAAGCCACGCUGUGCAACUUUCACAGAUAACCACAUACGUUGGAGUUGACCCUUCACAUUUCUUUUUUUCCAAAAUUAGAGCAAAGAGUCAGCUUAAACAAAAAAAAAAAAACCCUGAAAUUUACAAUAUGGUGAUUAGUUUAAAAAAGAAACGAGAAGGGCUCUGCGAGGGAGACGCCACAAACCAAGCUUGGAAAGCAAAAUCAUUUUUGUUUCUCUUUGGCAACAACAAUAACGAGGAAUCUUUUUAGUAAAAUGAAGCUAAAGCUUCUCCCUACAGAAGAACAGACAUGCACCAAACUUGUUAGUAUGGACAGUUGUGUGUGAGAAGGAGAAGGAGGGAGAGAAACCUAUGGAUAAUAUAAAUUAGAAGUCAUUGAAGGUGGGGAGGAAAAAAAUCCUACAAAAUUUAAGAACAUUUCAGAACAGGUAAAACAAUUGUGUACUUUAAAAAUAGGGAUAAUAAAGUGAGCAUCUCAGAAAAAGGCCACUGCUUGGUGACCUGGGCAAGUCUGCCAGGUAAGUCCAUCUUGUAAAUAGUGUGCUGGCGUUAGAAAUACCUAGUUGCAAAAACAGACGGAGAGAGUGAAGCUGGUGGGACGGCGUCGGCAGAGGUGCUGCCCAGGUAGAAGGCCUGGCUCAGGUGGCCUGGUCCAGGGCUCUGAGGAGGUCCCCUCCUUGCAGGAGCGUGGAGCUUCCCAGCACGGGCACGUUCACCUCACAGUCAUAUCUGGUCAGUUCGGGCAGCAGGUAGGACUCAAAUGAGGGCCCGAGCAGCCGGCUUGCCAUGCCUGAAAGAAGGGUUGGUACCAUAACUUAAAGGCCUAAAUCGAACAUUUGGAAAAGUGUCUACUUCUUUGUGACUGGGGGAUACCAAUAGAGCAGCCCUAAUUUCACUCUGCUCCUUCAGUGGUGUCUGUCCCACGGCCUGCUGCAUGCCCGGGGAACGUGUCUGCCUCCAGAACCACUGCCUCAGGUGGGGUGCUGAGACCCAAGAAAGAGGAAAGCGUGAGGUGCGGGCUGCAGCACAGGUAUGUGGAAGCUUCAGGAAGAGCCUGGGGUUGCUGACCCCCAUGCCUCCUGGCAGCAGGGAGGAAAGGCUGAACCACCUGGCACCUAUGCUCACAUACACAGAACAUGCAGAACACACACAUACAUACAGAUGCAAACACAGACUGCCUCAAGAUUCAACAGUCUGAAAAUCCAGUUUCUGGUCACCACCCUCAGCAGUCCUUUCUUCUUGCCUCUGUGCUAUUCUCUUGCCGAGGAGGCAGACCAGGGAGUGGCAGGGGGGACACUCGCAGCACACACACAGGCCCCCAUCCCAAGGAGGAAAGGCUUAGGUGGCAGCAGAGAGCCUGGAAGCCCUGCAUUCUGCCCCUCCGAUGGGAGAUGCCCACCCACCUUCCCUUAUCUGCAGAGCCUCGUUCCAGUGGCCAUUGCCUCCUGCACCUCCUAGCUCAGAUCCUUGCUGGGGUCCAUGCCUGCCUCCCCAGCUUGACUGCUCCUGUGGACAGUAUCAAUGGAUACCUGCUCACCAUCCCUUGCUAACUUCUCUUAUUCAUGGUCAGAAAAGAGUUUGAUAUGAUUCAACUCUUUUGAAAAGAAUAUGAUUUUCCCUUGAUUUCAAUAUUCAAGGUAAUUCGUGGGCUUCACAUAACAGGAAGAAUAGUGCUGGCUACCUCUUACUGCACAUAAAUAUAUACCAGCCCCUGAACUCAACAGCAGAGCCAGAAUUUAAGCCAGGGCUGUCUGGUGUUUCUACAGCCUGGACUCUGAAGCACAGAACUAUAACCUUCCCCAAACUCUAUUGCUGAGGAAAUUGCCUUUUAGAACAGGGGCCUGGUAUGUUUUUCCAUAAACCACGAAUUAUUUUCAGGCCAAACAAACCUCAUGAAGACAUAUAUGUUUCACAAGAUACUGUCAAGAUGAAGGUGGCCCAGGGUUGAAGGCAGGCAUUGGUGCCUGCAGUUGAACCAAGUCCAGUGGGGUGGGCCUACCAGAGCUUUCCAGGCUGUUCUACCUGAAGGAAGUUUUGGCAUGUUCUCAGCACCUGCCUGAACUCAGAGUGACACCCCAAAACACAUCCACAUGAAGAACUGAGGAAGGGGCAAGGCUCCGGGAUUCUCAGGGUGGAAAGAGCCCUGGAUGGCACCUGAUCAUGGGAGGGUUCUCCCUAAAGCCCCAGGGAAGGAGCACUCCCUUCUCCACGCAGCAAGCUCAUCCUUGCAUAGACGGGAGAUCCCCUGCCUCUGCCCAGACCGCUUCCCAACUCUCUCUCUCUGAACUUUCUCUUCUCUUCUUCAACAGGCCCUCACCACUGUGGCCGCCUGCUCUUUCUUCUGAAAGUGCUCCUGUCAACAGUGGUACAGUGUUCUGGGGGUCGCCAACCCAGUGUUCAGUGUUCAGUCCUCUUUGGGCAGUCGGUAGUGGUCUGCAUUCUUUCCUUCAGUAUUCUAGCCUGAGUUUGAGUUUUUUAGCUGUGUCUCAGACCCACCCACUGGGGGGCCUGAUCACUGAUGUCACAAGGAACUUGUGAGGAGGUUCCCUAAAUCCAAGGAGACCUGAGCCCUGUAUAGGUGACUUCAAGUCAAGCACCUCCCUGUGCCUGGCACUGUGCAGACGCUGGAAAAAAAGUAGACGUGGGCUUCCCCUGGCAUCGAAUCCUGGGAUGGGGGUGACAGAUCCUGGGCACACCCACCUGACACCUUGUGGGCUGACGACAGGCUGUAGUCCUGGUACUGGGUGGCGUAGCACUGUGGGGGGAACCUGCUCUUGCUGUUCUCCCCGGGACUGAUGGCAGAUGGAGGCUGUGGCAGCGGCAGAUGUCUCAGGGGAUGGCCCAGGCCCCUCAUGGGGUUUUGGGUGAACUUAUCUGAAAGACCAAAGUCAGAGAGUGACGGUAGCAUUGGCCUGAGGGAGGGGAGAGGCCAGGAAGCCCUAGCAUCCCUUUCCUUUAUAAAAGGUGCUCAGAGUCACCAGAACUACAGCCAACCUUCAGGACCCUCUGAUGGCAUCAUCUAAGUCAGAGUGGAGAUGGAAAAGUUGGGUGUGUGGGACUGCGGGAGAGACAGAGGACAUCGCCCCAUUCUAACAAGGCUCAGAGAGGCAGGUACGGCCUGUGGUGAAUGGAAGAACCAGGAUGGGCUCCCGAGCCCCAGUCCUUCCACCAGAACCCCCAGGAGGCCCAGGCCUGUGGCCGCUGCUCACCAUUGGGUACAUUUGCGCUCAGUGGCUUGUCCGGCAUCAAAGGGCAGCUCCCACCCCUGAGGUUCUUCAUCCGUUUCCACAUCAAAUGUGAGGUGCUGCCACCAGGUGGGUCCCCCUGGGAGUAAGAAGGGCAGAUGGAAAGGGGAAAUGGCCAGAGAACCAGGUCCCCAGACUGGGUGGGUUGGGUGGGCCUGGAACAGGGCUGGCACUUGCUGGCUUGGAAGGGCCACAUCCCCACCCCUCUCAGCAGCCCUGGGUUCCCUAAGGGCUAUGCUGGCUUGGAAGGGCCACAUCCCCACCCCUCUCAGCAGCCCUGGGUUCCCUAAGGGCUAUGGAGAGGCCCCUGUGGCCAGUGGGGAUGACUCACCCCGCUCAGGUCCUGGAAGGCUUGCUCUUCAUACUCCAGCUGUCGCUUCAGCUUCAGCUUGUUGGAGAGGGCUACCAUGGCCGGACUCAGCACGUCUGGGCCUCGAGCCCCAAAACCCUUUGCAGACCUGCCAAGCCCGAGAGAGCAGGCUAUGAGGGAGUCUGGAGCCACAUGCCACUCAGUGCCUUCUCAUCUUAGGGGCCCUUCCAGUCCCAAUGCUGAUGCCUGUGAUGACUCAAAGACCCAAAAGGCAGAGUCUCAGAGGCAGGCUGUGCACCUGCAGGCCGAGCUCGAGCUCUGUCUCCUUCCUCAGCUAUAAGAUGCUGAAGGGCUCAAGCCUCCUGGUCUGGGGGAUGGCUGCCUGGCUGGGCAAUGUUAGUCCUUAGGAGGGUUUCUUCUGCCCAUGUCUCUCCUCUGCCUUUUGCUCCCACUGAAAACUAGUUUGGCUGCUCUAUAAAGGGCAAGUACCAGCGGCCCCUGGGAGUGGCAGGUCAUGUACCAACCCCUGUGCCUUAGCCCAGUGAGCUCGCAGCUGGUGAAAUGAGCAUGCUGGGGAGAUGGGAAGGCAUUUCUGGAGCCUAGGCACAGCUGGGAGAGGCUGCAGUGGCGAGGACCCGGGGGCAGCCAAAAGGCAAGGGGAGGCAGGGGUAUCUUUUUGCUGUUUUCAACCAGGGAAAAUCAUCACUCAAUUUUCUGUGUGGCUCAGAUGAUGAACCGAGAUACGAAAGGCACUCUGGUGGUGGUCCGAAGGGAGACACUGAGGUACAGGGCUCUCAACAAGCCACUUCUUUGCCUGCCCUCAGUGGCAGCCCAGAUAAAAACCCAUCCUACACUAGGCCUCACAUGGCUUGAGGUGAUUCCCCAAAGUCUGAGCUCAGAGAAGGGCUAAAUGGGGUAUCAGAUGGCUGGGGAGAGGGGCAGGGGCCUCCCUGGGGGUCCAGCUAUCUUACUAGUGGGUGCCUCUCGGUUCGGCCCUGCUGGUACAGCUGAGUAUCUGCCACUUACCUUGUCUUGAAGGUGGAGACAUGGGGUGGAGAGACAGGGGGCCCCAACGGCGCUGCUCCCAAGAACUCUGUGCGCUGAUCCCCGACGGCCCACUUUGUGGGCCCAAAAUGUAAUGGUGGAUCUGGGGGCCACUGGGUAUUGGAUCUGCCCCCCAUGGAAGAGAGAGGGGUGCUGGCCUGGCCACAGCACGGUGGCAGGGAUGCUUUGCUUCCGGCAUCAAAGAAGAUGGAGGACAUGGGCCGGUGCUCGGGCUCUGUCUUCUUGCUCUCCAGCUGCUGCUGAAACUUGUCCAGGAGGAAGGGACUGUGCGGGGCUACAGGGGCCAGUGGCUGGAAGAUGUUUGUCAUGGCACUGAAGCAGUGCUGGGGGGUGGACUGUGGGUUCUCCGCCAAGAGCCGCUCCUCGGGGCAGAUGGGGCUUAGCUGGAAGUCUUCCCCGUCCAUGGGGAUAUAGGGUGCCAGUGUCUCCAAGUCCAGCUCAUUGAAAUCCGUCUGAGGGGAGACAGCACCGGCAAAGAGGCAAGGGGGUUGGUACGACCUCACAAACACUAUUCCAACUCAGCUCCUGCAGAGCCAUUCAUCUCAAGCACUGUUUCACAGUGCUGCUCAAACGCCUCCACUGGCUCCCGAGGGCCUAUCAGGAAAACCUCAGACUUGGCUGUGUCAUGUACACGACCUUGUAUCAUGUACCAGCCUUCCCCCAUGUUUAUCCCCUCUUCACCCUGCACAUUGAGAAAUGUUCUCCUCUCCCCAUCCCACCUGUCCGGAGCCCGCCUUCUCUCUUGAAGCCGAGGCAGCCCCUCUUCCACAGAGUCAGCCCUGCCUACUCCAGCCUGUGGUGGUUAUCCUUGUCCUACAAUGCUUAGGCCUGUGGUGCACACUGUGGCUUUUUUUUGUCCUCUUCUCCCUCCUGUAAGCUGGCACGGGCCUAAGCAAGCAGUAAGUGCCCAGGUCCAUCUGUGGACUCUCGCAGAGUAACAGCCUAACAGCCAGACCCCAGGGACAGAGACUUUGGUUCCAAUCAGCAGAUACUCAGAUCAUCCCUUAGGGUGGCAGUAUCAUGACGGACGCAUGAUACAAGCAGGGGAAUACAAGCAGAUGCGGAAAACAGUUUCUAACUUCAGAGACUGACACCCUCAGUGGGUGUCAGCUGACUAAUGACUGCAAUACUAAGCAAUCUUUAAGGAGCAGAAGCAGAUAGCUGUGAUUAAGUGCCACAUGAUAUAUACUACAGGAGUGCUGAGGAGGGAGGGUGAUAGAAAAGCUAAAAUUGGGCAUGUUUUGCAGAGUAGCUGGGAUUUGUGCCAAGUAGGAUCAAGAAACAAACUAAGUGGCAAGGCAGAAAUCUGGUUGAACUCAAGACUAAGACAAAUGGGGGAUUAAUGGUUUUCCCUGGGGUUUUGUAAAACACGUACCCCUCCCUCUACCUUAUCCUUGUUUACAUAGUUUUUGCAAGAACAUUGGCCUUAUGUAAUAAAUGUGUUCCUGAAAAGUUUUAUGUAAAUGAAAAAUUGUCAAACAGAUGUUAUUUAUUUUAAAGUGCAUUUCAUAUAAAAAUGAUUAUUUUUUUAAAAUCACAAGAUGAAUGUGUUUAUAAAGGGAUUAAUUGUCCCCUAUGUUUAUACAUGUUUUAUACAUCUGGCUAUGCUUGUUAAAUGUAGGGCCUGUUUAAAGAAAGGUGCAGUGGUAUCAUUUCGGUUUUCAUGUGUGCUAAGAAAGCUAUCUAAGUAGGAGACACAUAUGCUGGAAGAGCUGGAUUUGACAGUGGGAGGAGGGGGUGACCACAGGCUCCAUUACCCUGUACCCCUACCUCUUUAGGGGACCUGGGCCUUGGCCAAACGUCUCCACUGCUCUUUACAACAAAGGGAUGAGGCUACAAGAAUGGAUGUGAGCCUUUGCUGUCCACCAGACAGCAGGCACACACCCUAGCCUGAUCUCCACAGCCAUCUACCUGGGUACUGCAUUGGUCCUUGGCCUCUGUGUCCAUGGCGAAGAGCUUCUCAAUCACUUCAAUCUUCAGGUCGUUAUCCAAAGAUGUGUAAUAGUCUUCAGGGCUAUUGGGCUAGGGGCCAGGAAGGAGGGGGACAGAGUCAAAGAUAUGGCACUGGUCUCCCCAGAAGUCCAGCAUGGAAGAAGAAAUACCUUCCUGGACCCAAAGGUUCAAUUCCAUUCCACCACACAACUAUUUGUAGAGGGGCUGCUAAUUAACAAGCUGUAUGAAUUAGGUCAAUUCAUCAACCUCUCUAAAUUCCAGUCUCCUCAUCAUAAAAUGAGGCUACUGUCGCUUCACAGGUUGUCCUGUCUUGAGGACCAAACAGGAUACAGGCUGUGGCCAGCAGGGCUGUGCAAACUGUGCAGCUCUGUGCCACAUACGGGAUGUUACUGCCCUGUAUGGGGACUGAGCUGGGGGCUCAAAGCCCUUCAAGGAGCUUAUUUCAAUGGAGUUGGGGGAUGAACACUAAAAGGAAGAAAACAGCUCUGAUACCUGGUAGGUAAGUGUCACGGCCACUCUAGGGGGCUCUGUGAUAACCUGAGAAGGACAGUACCUGUCCCAAAUGUCCCUUCAGCCAUCUGGCAGCAGUCAUACAUACGGAGCCCUCUCUGUGUCCUCGCCAUAAGAGGGCUGCUCACCGUGGAGCAGCUGCUGCUGCUGCUGGUGGCACUGGGGGUGGUGCUGCCCGGGGCAGCUGCCUGGGGCACGGUGAAGGCAGGCAGGCUCCCAGCCUCGCUCUGGGUGCUGUGGCUCCUCAACUCCGUGGCCCAUGGCUGGCUCGGGGGCAGGAUGGCCUUGCCAUAGGCUGAGGACUCCUCGAAGUUCUGAUUCCCUGUGGAGACAAGGGCCUGGGAGGUGAACACCCACAACCAUCGGGCUCACCCCAAGGCAGAGGAGGCCCAAAAACCGCAGAGAAGGCCCUAAGAGGGUCUGGAAGGCAUGCCUGGGGCUAGGCCCCCCCAACACCCUGGGGCUCAGCUGGAACACAUGGGUCUUUGACUCUGGCUAUGAGUCAACGUAGAGACUCCCUUUAAACGGAACAGUCUCCUGGGACAUUUAAUUUUCAGAGACUAAAUAUAUUAGGAGCCACUCUUCCCUGAGGAACAGAUCCGGAAGGGUAGACAAGGAAGGUAUGAGAGGGAGAGGAGAAUUGGGCUAUUGAGCUAUUUGCCUCAGUACUGCCACAAAACAAGCCGCGAGACCUACUGGCCAAGGGCCCGCUGCGUUUCAGAUUCUCUUUAGCUGCAAUCCUCACGUGGCCGCUGUAGAACCCAUCUAAAAGGGGCUGACACAGUCCAGGGUGAGCACCACUCUUCCGGCAGCCACAGCAAGGCCAGGAGAGGGUGGCAGCGGGUUGCGAACUGGGGAGCAUGGGGCUUCAAGGGUGUUUCCAGGAUUGGAGCAGCCGAGGGCUGAAAACCCUGCCGGGGUCCCCAGUGACUUACAUCCCCAGGGACAGGCAGACACUUUAAUGAAGUCGUGGGUUUGAGGGCUUAAUCCCAGGCCUCAAUAUGUUCUCUGUGUUUUUGGAAUGAUCCUUCCCAACAUUACUCCAACUUGGCCCUCUGCCUGAACAAGCCAUCUGUCCUUCCAGACCCUGGUAGGAAUCUGCCCCUUCUCUUUGACAGUGUCCAAGUGGCCUCGGAGCAGAUCCCUCACCUCUCCCCUCCCUCUCAUCUCAGACUCUCACCACCCAUGGUGGAGAAUCGACCCUCAGGGGGGUGUCCUCUCUUAACCCCUCCUCGUACAGCACUUGGUGAGGUCGGAUAUGGGAUGGUCUUAUCAGGGCAGGAGCGUGUGGUGUUCUUUUGUGCUCAGCAGGGCCUGGCCUCUAACAGGUGAUUAACAAGACUUGGGGGGCUGGGGUAGCUCUGGUUAAGAAAAAGCUGCAGCCAGGGAGGCCUGUUAUAGUAAGAACUCUUCCCAGCCCCAACGGGGUUCCAGGGGCCUGGCUUAGCUAAGAAGCACCCACCGAAAUCCAGAGAGAUGAUGGCGUCUCCUGGGGUGGGAGCCAGCUGGGCCAGCUCCUCGGGCUCCUCCUUUAGCUUGGUGAAUAGGAAGUUACUCUUCUCAGACACAGCCCCCUUGCCACUGCUAUCAAAGAUGCUGUUCAUGGCCAUCAGGUGGGGCUUGAACAGGGAUUCAGUCUGGUCCAUGGAGAACACCACGUCAUUCUUCUCAAUCUCACUAAUGGGGGGGAAAGAGCCAUUCAGACUUUCCACAUUUUCUAGAAAAAUUCUGCUCCCCUAGAUGCAUGGAAACCCUCAUAGCUAAGCUCUCCGACAAAAAAUGGGUAGGACUCCAGGCAUUGGCGUCUUAUAAAGAACCAUACAAUAGAAGUGUGUGAGCCAUGGAGGUAGUGACAACAGAGGUAUCCUCUGAAUGUAUGUCUGUUUCGGAUCCUGUUUUAUUAAAUAUUAUUGCACUUGAGUGGGGUGGUAUAUAUGAGGCCUGAUGCUUUUGUUUUUCUCUGUCUGUAGAAACAACUAGAAAUGACUUCCUCUAGCUUUCUUUCCAGGUACUAUAGAGUGAAGGCAUGACAUCUUUUUUUUUUCCCAAAAGCAUAAGCGAUUCUCUUUCCUUUUUCCCCAUUCAGAAAAUAUUGACUAUUGUGUGCUAUCUGCCUCCCCACCUGGGUCAGAUGCAUGGCAUAAAUGACAGAUGCCAGGGAAAGCGCAGAAAAAAAAAUCCCAACCCAGUAUCCCACUGUUCCAAGACAUCCACAGGAAGUCCUCUCAGUCACUAGGGUUAGCCCUGCAAGACCUCCCUGAGGUGGUGCCCAGGGCGCUGAGAGGCCUGGCAUCUCCUAGGCCUGUCAUCCUGAGUCUGGGAAGCUUGGGCACCCCCACAUACCCUGCACCAAGGCCCGCCAGCCCUCACAUGCUUACCUCAGGACGUAGUUGACACACAUGAUGCACUGGGGCUGCAGGUUGCGAGGGUUGUAGAUGACCGUCCCCUGGGUCUCCAGCCACACGUAGCCCCCAUGCUUUGCGAGCAUCCGGUACUGGCCACUUACUACCUGACCCUUGGUGCACACUAGGGGAGGAGAAACAGAGCUGAGCUUAGGGAGGUGGGGCAGGGGUGUGCACCACAGGCUCAGCAGAUCGCAUGGGAGGGCAGUCUAAUCUGCAGGGGAACAGACAGAACAGGGCGCCACGACAGUGAGGACCAGGGAGAGUGACCUGGGAGGGAGCUUAGGGAUCACCUCAGCCAACUCUUCAUUUUAAAUAUAGGAAAAAGAGGUGAGAAGAGGUGAAAUGACUUGCCCAAGGCUGUCUACUGAGGGAGGGACCCGCUCACUAUGCAGCUUUGCAGUGGCCCAUCACCAAUCCCUGGACAAGUCAGGCUCACAGACCAGCUCAGCUAUAAGCAGAACCAAGUCCAGAACCUGCCUUACUUUCUUCAUGGGGUUCAAUGAGAAGAAGCCCCUUCACACUGGGUAAGGAGCGCCAUCCCGUCAAGCACUCCAGGUGGGGGGACUUCUAAGCAGCCUGGAGAAAGCCUGACCUCAGGGCAGUUUUUUUUGUUUUUUUUUGUUUUUUUUUUUCAGCAGACCCACCACCAAUACCCUGCUUAUGAAUAAAAGCAUUUAAAACAUUGAUAUCCUUGAUUUCUCCAGGUCAUCUGUCAGGCUUGCCACCUUUUGGGCCACUGAAGGUUUGUGACCCACAGCAAAGGCAGAGGCAAACCACCCCACCCUUUCUCAGUUGGGGCUGAGAAAGAGCUGGGACCCUGGCAGCCCACACACAGUCUCUUCAUAAGCUGUAAUAAAUCACUUAUACUCCUUCUCCCAACCGCCCAGCUAGGCUUCCUACUUAUGAGGUUUUUCCUCUUCUAGAUUGUUCUACUAAGUGUUCAUUUAAAAAACGCUUUUGUUGUCUACCUUGGGGAAGGGUUUCACAUCACAGACUGUCCUUCCCCAGUCCAGAAUGUUCCAUCUGCUGCCAUUCAAAAGGAAUCAAUAAAUCUCUUUAAAGUCUAAUAAUGUUAGAAUUUUUGGUAUUUUUCUGAACUGCCCAUUCCUUGGGAAUUUACAGAACUCCAGCUCAGAAGCUCCCAAAUCACAGAGACGUUAGGAAAGGGCAUGGAGGGAGGAUCGGGAAAUCUUGCUAGCUUGGGAUUUGGGGAAAGGAACAAUCCUUCUUGGUUUUGGUUUCCUCCUCUGCAAAACAGGAUAUUGAUAAUAAUAGUAGUAACGGUAAUAACUGUCAUCAUUAGCUACCCAGCAUACCACUGCCAUUUGUACUGAGGAUCGACUGUACCCACAUGGCUUAUCAGGUACAUAAGUGUUGACCAACUGUCACCAACAAAUUUUGUAUAGGAAAAGCCACCUCUUUCUUAGAGAUACUAAUACAUAUUAUGCCCAUGGCCUGUCACAGACAGUCUGUUACACGUUGGUAGAUAGUCUCAUGAGGGGCCACUCGGGAGGAUAUCCAGGCUCUCGGUAGACAGAGAGUCUCCCCGGUUCUCCUGGUAGGCUCGCAGGCCUCCUCCCCAUUCAUCAGCCCUGUACAGCUGAGGAACAUGGCUCUCUUCAUACUAGUGCAGUUUGGUAAUCCUUUACACUUAUGUUUUGCUUUCUUCUUCACAAUUUAACAAGCACCUGCAAAGUGCAAGAAUUCCUGUAACUUACAUUUGUAUAGUGCUUUGCAGUGUUCAGAACUAUCUGAUAAGAUGAAUUCGUUUCUGCAAAGCAUUCAGCACAGUGCCUGGCACAUAGGGCGCUCACUAAGGAUUAGGUCAUCAUCACUGCAUUUCAUAGGCAACACCAUGGGGUGCCUGUUGUUAUUCCCACUUUACAGCUGAAGAAACUGAGGCUUAAAACUACUGAGUCAUUUGCUGAAAGACCACCUCAGUGGAAACAGUAGACAGAAUUAUAGUUCAAAUUAAAGAUUCCUAGUCUAAGCUUUUUCUGUUUGCUCUUAAUUUUUAAAAAUAAAUGUUAUUGGGGUCAAAUUUACCUUCAAUAAAACACACACCCAUUUGAAGUAUACAGUUCAACAAGUUUUGACAAAGGUACAGUGAAGGCAUAGCACUUUUCCAUCACCGCCCCCACCACCCCAUUUUUUAUGCCUCUGGGCAGUUAAUCUUCAUUCCCACCCUGGUUCCAGGCAACCACUCUUCUGCUUUUUGCCACUAUAUAUUCGAAUUGUCUUUUCUAGAUUUCCAUGUAAGUGGAAUUGUAUAGGAGUAUCUACUCUUGUGUCUGGCUUCUCUACACUCAGCAUGUUUUGAGAUUCAUCAUGGCGUUGCAGGCAUUUGUGGUUUAUUCCUUUUCAUCAGUGAGUUGUAUUCCGUUGCAUGGACAUACCAUAAUUUGUUUAUCCAUCUGCCUGUUGAUGGAUGUUUGAGUUGUUUUCAGUUUUUGAUUAUUAUGAAUAAAGCUGCUAUAAACAUUUGUGUAUAAAUCUUUGUAUGGACAUAUUUUCAUUUCUCGUGGGUGCAGCUAGGAGUGCAAUUGCUGGCUUACCUGUAAAGUAUAUGUUUAUAAGAAGCUGCCAAAUUAUUUCCAAAAUGGUUGUAUCAUCUUGUCUAAUCUUUUAAACAAAACCCUGUGCCACAGGGAGGAUAAGUAUUUUCUUUUAACAUGAGGAAACUAAGGCCAGAGGGUUAUGAUUUGCUUCACAGCUUACAAGACAAUAGUGACAGAGUCUGAGCUACACAACAUGUCUGGUGGCUCCUAAUACAAUGGUCUCUUUAUUACCUGGGUCCACAAAUCACUGGGAAGACCAAACUUGCUGUUGCCGCUGUCCUAAACCAUCAUGGACUCAACCAAGGAAAUAACUUUUGUCCUCUCUGCUCUCCCUUUAUCUGUGCCACUGAGGCUCCUCUGCUGCAGUAAAAUGAUUCUUGCACAAUUUCAAGUGCCUGUAUUUAACUUAUUUAGAUGGUCCUUAAUGCAAACCAAAUUCAGGGCUCUUACUCUUUUUGAUCAAACAGUGCAGCAAGCAAAGGUUUUAAGUGCAUUUCUAACAAUUGCAGGCAAGGGCCUGCUCUGUCAGUAGAAUAUAAUUAACGCCAGCUUUCUAAUCAUCUGGUCAUUAAUGCCAGCCUUGGUGAAGGGCCUGCUACUUAAUAGAUAGGAAAAUAAGAUUAAAGGCCAUAAAAAGCCUAAAAGCACAUAAUAUCCUCAUAUAACAAAGGGAGACUGACCCCUAACCUCACGCCCAGAGUAACAGUGUAUAAAUUAUUAAUCCAUUUGGAAAUUACAGCUUUCAAUGAUCUAAAUCUAGUUGAGCUUCUCCAGGCAUUUCAACGGUAAACCUUUACAGGCUAAGACAUACAUGUGUGUAAAUGGGGGAUCCCAGUGUGUGAAUCUGGACCUGUCUCAAACCUGAGCCUCCAGUUAGUCUAGAGCAUGUGUGUCAGUCUGUAGUGAAACUUGACUUGCAAAACCUCAAGGACGAAUGAGAGACAGGGGUCGGGGGCAAGGGGCAAGCUCGUGUCAUAACUGUCAUUAAUCCAAUUUCCAACCCAAGCAGAUUUCCCUUGGCUAGCUAUGGGUUUGUCCCUUUGCUAGCUAUGGGUUUCUGAGCUCAGGGCAGCUUUACUUGGCUCCAUCAAGGGGAGAGAGAGCCUGUGAUUUCUAUUUGGGCUGUGAGUUACCUUUCAGUGUGCCUAAUAAGUAAAUACACGGAUUCAGUAAAAAGCACCUUAUUUUCCCUAGAGUCAGCAGAAAACAUAAACCAUUUUUAUCCUAGCCCUUUUUAUGGAUUGAAGAUGUUCUAAGAAGAACAAGAGGGAAAAUCCUUUCUAUAUGCCUAGUCAGAAGUCACAAUUUUUUUUUCCUUUGACAGUAGCUUCUUCUGCUUUCCCAUCCUACAAGAUAAAAGGUAAUACUGUCCUCCAAGAAUUCCCAGAAAUUUUUACAUUUGUCUCUUGCCUUGGCUUCACCCUUAGCUUGGAAGGAAGGCUAGACUUUUCCCCAGUUUUACAUCUAAAGUCAGGAAGGUCCAGAAAUCCAGGCCCUAGGGAAUCAGUGGGUCGGCUGGGCCAGAGCCUGGGCCGCUAAGUCCCAGUGCCUGGAUGAUUCUGUCACCUGCCUUUGAAAACAGGAACCCCUCAGGGACCAGGAAGCAUGAAGGAAUCCCAAAGGGAAGGCUGGAACCAGAUGUUACAAUUUCAAAGCUUGGGCAGGCUAAGGUGGGGUCACAUUCACAGGCAUAAAAGAGUACCUCCACUCCUACCCCAUCUCUGGGUUCCUGAGUGGGGCUGAAUCUAGGUUGUUUGUGUGUGUGUGUCUGUGUGUGCGCGUGUGUGUUUUGCCAGAGAGCACAGUGAGAAACUUCUCUGAGAUAUCAUAAUGGGCCCUGUUGUACUGUCAAAUCAAACCCAAAAGCCAUGAGGAAGAGGCAGAGGAACCAAUAAAAGAAAAGAAAGAUCUCACUCCUUAAGAGUGGGUUAACCAUGUUCACAUACAGCUUGCGGGGUUGUGACUCUGCUGGCUGCACUGAACUUGGCUGUCUUAGCCUUGGGGUAGAUGGGUGGAUUUAGGAGCCAUGGACAAAUGGCUGCCCUUCCGUUUUCUCCAUUGCCAGCAGGGCCACUGGGAAUCUUCUCAGACUUACUUUACCCGUUUUUAAUCCUCCCAUAAUCCUCUCAGCACCACUGUCUGCACCACUGUGGGCACUCGUUUUGAAGCAUUCUUUUCCAAAUACAGUCUUGCCCAUCGGUUUAUAUAGUGCAUUUAGUGCCUGUUCUGUACCAGACGCUAUGCUAGAUACUGAGGUUAAAGAUAUGAGCCCCUUGUUCCCAAGGAGCCCACGGUCCUCUUUUUUCCUCAGAAAUAAGGUCACUUAGGGCAGGAAUCAAUUCUACCAAUUUAUAUCACCCCCAGUGGGCCAAGUACAGGGUUAUAGGCCCAGAGCCCUUGCACAGUGAUGAGUCGCAUGGAUUCAAGGGAACGGUCCUGGAUCACCUGCCUAUAGGAAGCCUGAAUUGGGAACAUGGCCAAGGAUACACUCUAGAACUUCUCUGUCCAAUAUGGUAGCUACAAGCCAAGUGUGGAUAUUUACAUUUAAAUUAAUUAAAACUACAUUGUAUAAAGUUCAGUUCCUCGGUUUCUCUAGCCACAUUUCAAGAACAUUUCCACUGCAGAAAGUUCUAUGUGGCAGCCCUCUUCCAGAGUCCUUACAUAACUCAGGCUUCUUUCAAACUGCAAAGCAGAGUUUCCAUACGCCAUCCCUGGGUUGCCUGGACAGCCUUUUCUAAAGCUCCCUUGAUCCAGCAAGCAAGCUCUCUGAGAACUGUGGCCUACCUCAACAUAUGUGUUAAGUUGGACCCGUAAUACUUUCCCCUCUGUUCAGCCUAAGCCUCCCCGAUCCUUCAAGGUCCAACUCAAGUGUCCUUUCCUCAACUCCCCCUGCCCUCCUCUUCUGUGAAUGUAUGUACUUGAAUCUAUAGCAUGCACCCAAGUUGAUGAUAUGUUGAAUUAUUUUACUCUCUACAGUGCUGUUCCACAAGGUGUGCAAACCACUGACUGCACACAGGCACUCCGUGGAGGUGGUAUGGGGGACUGAGACUCAACCCACCCUCCACUGCCUCAGCUGUGCACCUUGGCACGGGUGCAUCUCCCUGGAGGAAGUGUCCUUUUUCUAAUUUGCACGAAGGAGUCUAUAGGCUGGUGGCAGCCUUGGUUUUCUAACCAUCUUGAGGGCAUAAGUCUUGUCUGCCACACAAGACAGCAGCUCUGUGGAGGAAGUGACCUGGUCUUCUGUCUCACCAGUCACACCCCACUCAAGGCCACAUACCACAGACACAAGGAAGCCACAAGGGGCACUCCUGGAACUCACAGUUCUGGUGACUCUUGGUCAUGUUCUCGGAGUCUAGCGCAUGGUAGAAUUCAUAGGCUGAGCGGCCAAGCAGCUCCUCAGGGUGGUAACCAAUCAGUUCUGUGAUUCUGAGUUUUUAAAAAGGCAGCAUGUAAGGAAGAAAGACCAUAUUAACUUAGCACAGCAUGUGGGCAGGAGCUAACCCCAGAAGGCAAAUCAAACACACACAUGCAGAUGAACACAAUCCAGACUUUCUUGUUGUACCAUGUAUCCAAGCAAAAGAACACUGUGCUCAAUCUACAGUUGCAGGUUUAACCAAACCCCUGUUGUUCCUGCCCUUCCUGAAGCCAUGUUUGGGAGGAGAGAAAAGCACCAGUUCUGAGGACUCCCUCUCCCCACCACCCCGGUACACACAUAUGUCUGUUCUCCAAGAACCACUGGAAGGGGCUCACCCCAAGUUUUUGCAGAUGAGGGAGUAGACAUCCAGGACGGGCAGACAAUUUGCUCGAUGCCUACACAGGUGUCCAGGGACAGAGCAAGAAUGAAAACUGGGGCCUCCAGUUGCUACAUCAAGCUCAUUCUAGUAGAAGGCAGUAUAAAUGAAACAUGAAAAUUAUGUGGCCCCAGGUAGAGCCACCUUUGUCUCUGUGUCAACCAGCACGUGAGAGGGAGUCCAGGCAGGCAGAACCCGUCUGUGCUUAAACCUUCACUUUUCUGCAGGUCCUGCCUGUGACCUCAGGUGCCCUCGGACACUUUCUACUUGUGCCUCACAUUUCAAGGAAACGAGGGAGGCAAGGAGGUGCUGAGAGGAAGAAAUAUUAAAUCAUAGUCAUAGAAAUGUGCCUUAUUAUACUCUAAUAGGCAGCUCAGAUGACACCACUGGCUGUCAUUUCAGUGUCCCUUUCUUCAUUCUGUAAGGUAUCUGGUUUUGAUGGGAAGUGGGCAGAGGAAAGGGCAAAUGUGGAGAACCAUGAAGAAUCACUUAACAUUCUUAGGACCCUUUGUUUUGUGCUGUAAUCACUAAAAUAAACAAAGCCCUGCCUAAGAACCACCAGGUUGGCCGCUUUACCCAAUAUCAUGUCCUAUCCUAGGCUAUAUAAUACCUCCAUAUUAUCUCUCAAAAUCUUGGUUCUCUCACAGACUUUAAAUAAUGGCUUCACUGUCUUGUUUACUUGGCCUAUCACAAGUUAGAAGUGAUGCCACAGUCUCAUUAUUACAACUCUACUUCAGAAGGCAUGACUCCUGGAUACAGUCCUAUAAUUUAUCCUUGUAGGGGAUCAAUAACACGGAGAGGAAAGCAGAAGCAGAAAGCAGAAGCAGUGGCUCCUCAUUUCCUGUCUCUGCUCUAAACCCACCCCCCAAACAGGUCAACUUGCAUACAUCUGUCAGACCAAAUUGCCCUAAAAUACUACUUGCAACCUGCCAUACUCUUAUUUAAGUAUCUACAGCUUUCACUUUUGCCAACCACACCAACAGUAAAUGCUGCGUAACUUCCAAGUCCCCCCAGAACCUACUCUCCAUCUUUUGAGCAAUUUGAUUUUCAACUCAUCUGUAAAAUGUUAUGUACCCUCUGUCAUGGAAGACCCCUCUCCCCUCAGUUCCCUAUGCCUGGAAAACUCAUUCUUGCUGCAGAAGCUUUAUGCCUUCUCUUCUCCCCUCUUCUCCAAGCCCUGACACCUCCAGGACCAGCUAAAGCCUCAUCUUCUCCACAGAGCCCUCUCCAGUUCCUCCAGCACAACGUCUCUCGUGAAGUCCUAAGGAGUAUGCACAAUAUUACAGAAAAUUAUGCAUUUGUCUCCUCACAUCCUAGGCUGUCAACCCCUGAACUCAGGGACCACUUUCUCCUUUUGCUUCCUCUAUAACGGGUGCUUAGUAAAAACCUCAACAGCUGACCAGUAGAUUGAUUUUCUCUUUGAACCUACGGUACAAACAGACACCUGUUUAUCCCAGCACUGCUAAGGAACCUGGGCACUAAGGAUCUACUUUUUUUUUCUAGAAUAAUAUGAUUAACUGUCUCAAUGUGUGUGCGCACACAUGCACGCGCACACACACACACACAGAACCUGUCAUGAUAGUCUAUCCAUCCUUUCUUCAUUCUGUAAGUCAUCUGGUUUUGAAGUGGGCAGAGAAGAGGCAAGUUCUCUGCUUGGGUGAGAAUUUGGGGGUUAAAGCCUUUGUCAAACAAGGAGCAGCUCAACAGGGCUGAGAGGCUUAGGUCUCAGCUGAUUCAGCCCAGUGGAGAUUUCUCCAGUGAGAUCCUAGCAGCUCAUUUGUGCCAGCCAGCCAGUCUCAGAGCAGAAGGAUCUGUCCCGUCGCUUGGCCCUGAGCAGAGAGGUCUCUGAACUCAUUAGCAAUGGAUACAUUAUCUGGCAACCUGACCCUGGGGCUGGCGCCCAAGUACACCUUGGCAAAGGUGGAGACUGGGGGGAACAAGGAGACAGAACAGUGCUGGUCCUACGAUCAAAUGGCUUCGCUGCUGGGUCGGAUGACUUUCAAGCUUAGCCUGGGAACUAGAACUGCAUGAGUAAGCCCUGCUAACAAUGGUCUGGCCAUCUGCAGGCUCACUGACUUGCCAGAUAAACUGCUUCUGUUCCUGGGCAGGUCUAGAAUUUUCUAGAGACCCUCCAAAAUGAGCCUACUGGCAUUCUAGGAAAGAUGUCUUUCUACUCUCUGAAGGAAUUAAAUUUCCUUUCGAGAUUAGAAUCUUUAAAUUAAAAUGUUCAAAGUAGAUGUUUAUUAUAAUCUGCCUCAUAAUAAAAUGUUUAUCUAAUUAAUGUAUCAUCCAUUCAAAGGCAUACAAUGGGCAUGUUUUGGAAGUGGAAAAACAAACCUAGAUUUCAGAACUGCCAGAUAUCUUCCCAGUAGCAGCUUUCAUUUAUCUUGUCAACUAAAAUAAAUAUUUAAUGUCUUUCUUCAUUCCUUUAAACAGACUACUAUAAAAACUGGGAAAUACACCACAUCCCAAACACAAUUGAAGAACAUUUGAGUUGUCAAACUUCACAAAGCCAGGAAACCCCAACUUAAAGCUCAUGGUCAUUCGCCCCCACGUGCAGGCACGUAGACGCCAGUGGGGAGGUUAAUGAACCGAGCUUGUUUAUAAGGUCGCUCCUACGGCACACAAGGGCCUUCCCCGCUCAUUUCCCCCAGGCUCCAGACAAGCCUUCCGAGCUGGGCUGUGAUAACACAAGUUCAUCUGCUCUCUCCAUCAGGGGCCAGGGAACUAUUUUUUUUUCUUUCUUUCUAAUUAAGGACCCCUGACUCACUGGGAAAAAGAAAAUCAGUUUGAGGUCACCCGUAAAUUUCAAAGUCAACUCAGUAGGGCUGUUCUAAGAGAAGAGAGAAAUGUACAAGGACUUAAUUCACCAGAUUUCAAACAUAAGAACAGAGGAUACUUUUUAAUAAUAAAGUCAAAAAACAGCAGACCAAGGAUGCAGUGAGGAGAGAGAUGCAGAUAGAUAGUCAGCCACAAGGAGGCAGAGGAAGGAUGAAAGGAAAUAGAAAAUACAGCUUUAAAGGGGGUUGUUAAAUUCUGAAGUUGGUGUUACCCCAAGUAAAUACGUGGGUCAGCUCUCUGAGCACUGGACUUCAGAGUGAGAUGUGCCUUCAAAAUGUAAAAUGAAUGAUUCAUUGCUCUUUACUCUCAAAACUGUUUAGAAGCUCUAUUCAAAAUACACCACCUACAGCAGAGUGCUCGCAAAAAAAUUAUUCUCUUGGCUACAGCGUGAGUGCUGCCACCUCAAGUGGCAGAAAGAAAUCCACCCACAGGCCUGAGAAGGCUCGCUCUUCUUCCCCGCAUGUAAUCGCCAGCACCCGUCCACGUGCGGUGCAGCGCCACGGUGCCUGACUUCAGAUGCCACCGCCUGGAGUCACGCAAGAUCUGGCUGCAGUUUUUACCCCUGUUCCCUACACGAGUAAAGGAUUUGCUAGGUAAAUUAAUCAUGUAAGCAAGAUGGUGAGAGAGUAUUUAAACUGUUUAAGAGGAUGAAAGUUUUAAGUACUUUGUAACCACCUAUUUGUUUUCCAAAGAAUGUAUCUGCUAAUAAAUACUUCAAGUCGGCUUGCUUUCCUUCCACACUCUGCCCAUCGCCUCUCCUCAGCACCCCGUGAUUUAUCUCAUUUUGGUUUCUAUAUGUGCUUAUAAGCUUUGACACUGCGUUUCCUUACUAAUAUGUACGCUGUUCACUAACUCAGAUUUCAGUGCCUUCGGUUGGUUUUAAUAUAUUUUCAUCUAGAUUUUGUUUGCUUUAAACAGUACUUAAGCCUUGUGUUUUCCUCAAAUACUACAUGGUUAUAUGAAAUCUAUACAACCAGCUCUGUAAUUAACGGGAAAUCCAUUUCUAUCCUGUCUGUGGAGUGUUACAGGGUACCUGUAGGGGUAAGAGUAUACAUAGGAAGGUUGUGUGUGUGUUUUACCACUUAUGGCUCUUUAUAGUUCUCCUUACUGACAUUAUCUUUAGGAUCCUCAACGUUUCCCUCACUUUCACCAUUUUUACUUAUUCUCAACUUCUUUGUAGAAAAACAAUUCACCAUAAAUUUAUCCACAGAACUUGGAAUGUAGGCAUCUUUAUUCAACUGUAACUCCUGAUAUUAAUAUGUCCUAUGUUCCCUAAAUGCAAUGACAAAACAGGGUUGCCCUAAAGUUCUUUACCUGUAAAAAUUGUAUGACCCUCUUUGUUGAUUUGAAAUUUUUACUGUAAUUUUGAAACCUCUUCCCCUGGUGAUACUGCUCCUAUCCACAUAAUUUGGUUUUAUAAUUUAUUUCUAAGAUACAGGAAGACUCCUACAACUGACAAAAUCGCAGUGGGAUUAUAUGAUAAUUAGAAAGGCCUGGCCUCUAUCUCCCUGACGGCUUGGCUUCCUUCACAGUUACCUCUUUCACCACUAGAUGGCACCUCCACAUGAAUUUAAGAACCACCCUAUUUUAAAGUUAAACUACUUGGGAACAACUUUUGUCUUCCUUUUGGGUAAAUGGAAUGUUGUAUUUUGUACCAUUCACUGUGGUUUCAUUAAAUGGCUUAUGUCUCAAACUCUCAACUCCUGAAGAUCAGGAAUCAUCUCUUUUACUUUGAUGUAAUGGUCUCUGGCACACAGUUACAUAGCAGAUGCACAGUAAAUGACAGUUCGUAACUGGUUGCUCAGUAUUUCGGGAAACAGAGUAUAUUGCCUAUGUUUGAGUCGUAAAUGAAGAAGAGAUCAUUAAUUCCAUUAAUAAUCAGGAUAUUUUUCUUUUACCCUGCUACUCAACUUGCUCCCCUUGUCUAGAGCAGUUGACCAUAGGUACAUAAAUGUGACCGACAUGAAUUGUUAUGAAAUUUACUUUUAAAAGUAUUUACUAUUUUAAAAACAAUUAAUGCAGGACUUAAUAUGGUACUCUGAUCCCUCAUUAACAGGAGGACAAAUGCAUUUUGAACCAUCUGUAUUCCUUUAUUCUAUUUCAGAUGUUUCAGAAUAGGUUGUUUCAGAUUCAACUGAUUUGACCUGAGAGUUCAAUGUAAAAUUAGAGUUGUCUUUUCUCUCCCUUCUUUCCUGUCGGUUUUCAUCUUUUUCUCCAUGACCCUUUUUCUUUUUUUGCUUGAUUGUGUCUGUGGUCUCAGUAUAUAUAAGACAAGUACCAAACUGCUUCAAAAUUGAUUUUGUGGAUUCUAACUGCCAUACAUUUUCUUCAGAUUCUAACUUUUCUUGUAGGAAAACAAUCCCCUUUGUGGGAAUCACAGCACCUUGUGUGUCUCAGAUGUCAUUAAACCUAGUGAAUUUCCUGAUUAAAAUGGAGAACCCCUCACCCCAUUAGGUAUCUUGGACAGGCAUUGGUUUUUGCAGGAUUUGUCUCUAAAGGGGAAUUGAGGCGGAGAGUGUAUAUAUGUGUGCAUGUGCAUAUGCUUCUCCCCAUCCCACCACAAAGAGUGAAAACAAAACAAGCUACCAAAACCAAAAAUAUCUCAGGCCUCAUCAAAGCAAUUAAGAUAUAACACUUAGGGAUUAAGGACUUAAAAUAGUCACUUCAUCAACUGUCUAAGCCAUGUCUGUGCCCUUGUUAACUAAUCUGCUAAUCGGUUAAACACAACUUCUGUGUGACACAGCAUUCUAUGUCUUUAAAUGCUUCUACAUGCAGCUCUCCAGCACCACUGAAUUCAGACUUGGGGCCAUGUAAUUAGGUUUCUUGAAAGGCAAGAUUUUGCUGAAAAUGCAGUGUGUCUCGCAGAACUUAUAAGCAAUAUCACCCUCUACAUUAUGAGUCACAAAGCCCUAAAUCACGAGGCUUGAUACUUCCUUUAAGCCAGAAGCUACUCUGGCUACCAGCCCUGAGCCAAACUAAGAAGUCAGCACAGCAUCUUUCCCCUUUCUAUGUACAUUUCCUCUCCAGCCACAUUUAGACAUCCAAUUCCUUGUGUUUCUCCCCCUCUUCUUUUGUCCAAAGGUUAGUACCUUCAGAAAAUUACCUGAAACUCAUUUAAACCAAGAUAAUGAAUAAAGGAUAAGGCUGAAUUACCCCUUCCAGAGGAUUUCUUCUCACUGUAACAAGGAUCAAAAUCUUAAGCUUAAAAAAAAUCUCUUUUCUAUUAUGUAGGGAUGCCAAGUUAUUUUCUAGGACAGUAGGGUUUUCCCAGUGCUUAUGGAGUUAUGUUACGGAUGUGCUUCAUUCACCAGGGUGAAGCACGUAUCUGACUUUCAUCAUCCCCAGCACUAUAUAUGCUCCCAGGCUAUAUGGCUACGUCGGCUUGAGCCACUUCACCUCAAAGCCAGUGACACAGGGGCUAUGCAGUGGGAUUGUCCAUGUUAUCUCACAAGACUACUGAGGUACACAAAGCUGUGUCUUCUGCCCAGAAUGUUCACCUGAAUACAAAGACUGCAUCUGAUAAAUAACCUUACCUAUAACAUGGAUUCCUGCAGUGCCUGUCACUAAAAGUGCAAUCUUCUUCUUGAACCACCAUCAUUAUCACCACCACCACCACCACCACCACCACCACCACCACCACCACUACCACCACCACCACCACCACCACUAACAAUUACAAUAAAUGGUGACUGUGUCGAAGUUCCAGGACGGAAGGCUUCAUGCAUGACAUUUUCUCCCUAUGAGGUUAGAGCAUUUCUUUCUACUUAUAUAACUACCCACUAGCUCCAAAGGCUGUGAAUCCUGGCCCUACUGUGGUCAGAACUGAAGGACAGGAAUGACUCAAGGAUACUUUUACAAAAGUUCUGAAAUUGUGCCACAAGUGGUGGCCAACUCUAAGAAGGGGCGACCAACCAACACCAGGCCGGUCUGGAAUCAGAGGAGAGAAACCCCAUCCUGGAGAGGAGGGUCCCUCCCAUGAAGAAACCAGAUGCCCUUGGGAUGUCCAGCUGAUAAGAGAAAAGUGGGUAGGCCUAGGGGAGGCUGAGCAGGAGCUUUUUUUCCUGGGGUUCCAUGGUUUCCUGCUAGCUGAGGAAGACAAGGCAGAUUCUUGCUGAUCUGGGGGUCAGAUUCUUCCUCUUCCUGCCCCCCAGCCACUAACUGCCUUCAGAAGUGGUUUCAGCUCCUUGAGUUUAGUGGAAGAUUUUGCUUUGGAGGAGGCCAAGGACAGGAAGUAAGAUAUAAGCAAUAACAAGAAGCCUCACAUGUGUUGUGGUGUCUGGACUUCUCAAAGUGCUUGCACAGCCAUUAUCUCAUUUUACAGUGACCCCAUGAAACAGGUUAGAAAGUGUUAUCUCUAUUUUGGAGAAGGGGAAACUGAGAUCUGAGGGUUUCCUGAGGAGAAACCCUAGAAGAUGAGAGAAGAGUGGCAAAGAGUUGGGGGUGGCAAAGAGCUGCCACAGGAACUGUCACCCUGGGACACAUGGCGGCUCUAGAUGCUGCAGAAAGCUGAGGUCAGGCAGGGAGAUCUCUGCCAGGAAGGGCGCAUGCGGGGGGUGCUGCUCAGCAAGCCCCAGUGGCGCUUACUCAAGCCAGGCCUACCCUGGGCCCAGUCUUCUGCAUUUCCUUCCCUCCCUGGGGCCGGCCAUUGCUCCGGGCAUCUGUUCUCCCCAUCUUCCUCCUCCUACCUCCCAUCAUCAGGCUCCACAGUCCCAGAGGCAGGGCUGGUGGGGGAGUUAGGAGCUGUAGGGUAUCUAAAUACUCCCUCCUAUGACAACCCCAGUCUCUUCCCCACCUGCUUCAAUCUUCUAAAUGAGCUAAGAACCCGAGAUGGCAUGACAUGCCUAAGCAGUCUUAGGCACUCUUUCAACAACUCUAAUAAAGGUGAUAAUAAGAGCUAACACUGAACAUUUAUUACUAAAUUUGAACCUAAGCCAUCUAGUCCUGAAGCCCAUGCUCUUAAUCACUACUGUGUCUCCUAAGAGACACUGGGCCUGGCACUGGGGGGUUAGCAUCUGGCUCAGCUACCUUCAUCUUCUUCAAAAUGGCUGGACACUGGCCGGAAUGGAGUUGCAUGCAGGAAGGAACAAGGCGGAGGGAAAGGCUCAGUCAGUAAUGGAAGAGGGUCAGUCUCCAGGGCAGAAGCUGAUGCUCCUUACUGGCCUCUGAAGCAGGAGUACAGAUGGAAGUCUCUAGACUCUUUCUCCUGGGGCAGAAGACUGCCUUGAGAAUUUCCUCAGGAGCCUGAUACACGUAUGGAGAAAUAUGUUCACACCACAAUGAUGAGAAGAGUUGCACACCAGGAAAGCUCUGCAGAUGGACCCUGAGGCUCUGUCAAUGGGAGACCACCAAAUACAGUACCGGGAACCUCUGAGGGGCACUGAUGCAAUGAAACAGUGGCACAGGUCCACGAACAUGCACCCGGCAAUACCACGUCUAUGUUCAGUUCCACACCUUUAAUACAGGCACAACUCCCCACACACACAGGUAAGACCCAUCUCUGCCCACAGCAUACACACCCAUGGCCCCCUACCUGUCAUCACAGUAGGUGAACUUCAUGUCCAUGCUGUGGCGGCUCAGGAAGGUCUUGCUAUCCAGGGGGAUGUCCAUGUGGGAUGGGUGCUGGAUUGGUUCACACAUGAUGAUGAGGCAGGACAGCAGGGGCUCCUUGUAGCCACACAGACUAUUGUGAGGAGGGCAGUUGUUGUAGACUUUCACCUGGCCCGUGCAGUGCAAGACCUGAGACAGGCGUGGAAGGGUCAGACAUGGAGCCGAGAGUGCUGGGGGUGGGGGUAGGGCCUUAGGCAUCCCCUGCACCGCCGUUACCCUACACCUGGGACUCCAACCCAGGCCUGAUGUUGCCCUACCUUCCAGGUGGCUGACUUGAGGUUGACAGUACGGCCUCUGUUGGUGACCGUGCACUUCAUCCUCAUGAAGAAGUCCCGCUCUGUGGACAUGUCUUUGCUUUUUUUCCCAAAACCAGAGCCUGGAUGUGGAAGGAUGGGAAGAACCAGCUGAAGUCAGUUUUAUAUGGAUAUUCAUGAGAGGGGCCCAGCUGCAGUUUUUCUUGGCAGCCUAUUGUUUAUAUUUUCCAAAUAUCUGCUCUCUUAGCACCUGUGGUCUGCCAUCAACACUGAGCUCCAUCAUGGCCUGUGAACUAAUGGUUCCCACUCUCAAGCUUAUCUCCUCAACUGGAGCAUAAACUCCCACAAGGGAGGAGCUGCUCCAUCAUUUGAUUUCCCAUUGCAUCUGGAACAUGGUCAGUGGUGCCUUCAGAGCAGCGACACAACGACUGCCUAUCAGCCACUAACUCAGCCACCCUUUCCUGGGGCAGGCCCAGGUCUUCUCGCAGAAAUUCCAAGGGACAGUCUGAGUGAGGCCACAGUUACUCCAAGGGUGUAAGCCUUCCUCACAGGUUAGAAAUGUCUCUCCGACACUCCCGUCUUUCCUUUAUAACCUGUCUCUCAGGAGGAAUUUAACCCCUCCUGUACCCCAUUUGCAAACUGCAAUAGCUGUGUUCAGGAUACCAUGCCAUUAGCUUUGUCCCUGAAGUGACAUAUGUAUCAAGGCUCUAGAGAGAACUCUGGUACGAAUCUCCUUACAGUGGACUUGGUGAGCAAGUCCACUUUAUGGAUUAACUCAACCUGGAUCAUAUCCUCUCUCUCAGCAAAAAUUAAAUCACCAAGACCAGCAAUAUAGCUUACUUCCUUAUAGUUGCCAAACAGCCUCCCGAUUCAGAACCAUUUUCCACUUUUUGUAAAACAAAGUAAUGAAGAGUGCCAGCUGAAUCCCACUUGUCUGUGUCUAAAUCCUGCCUACACCACCAUCUCUGGUACCUACUUUCAAAGAUAUAAUCCUGCCCCCUACCCAGCAUCAUAGAACAAUCUAGAGCCUUGUUUCGAAUAGUCACACUCCUUCCUCCAGGAACAGUCACCAGCCCCUGCACUUAAACUUCCAGAGGAUCUUGACUGACAUAUUCCUGAAGAGUUAUGUGUCAAAGGAACUGUGGCACCCUUGAACAAAACUUCAACAUCCUUAGGGGACCCCACUCAGUAACAGACUGAAUAGUGAAUUUUUUUAAAAAAGAGAGAACAUUCCUUCAUCACGAUUAUAAAACCAUUUCUCCCAUACCAAAUUAUGAUUCUUGCCAUUUUAAUUUUCAGAGGUGGGGUUAGCAUACAAUGAGAUAUACCUGUAUCUUGGGAUCUGGCCCCACCACCAGGACCAGACCAGUUGUUGGGUAUAAGGGGGCUGGAGGGAUUCAUUUGUGGCUGUUGCUGGGGUAUUAUUGAGGCCUCUUAACUUGCUAACCUCUGGAUUCUCCCCAUGCUGACAUUUGAUCUUUUUUUUUUUUUUUUUUUUUUUUGAGACAGAAUCUUGCUCUGUCGCCAGGCUGGAGUGCAGUGGCGUGAUCUUGGCUCACUGCAACCUCUGCCUCCUGGGUUCAAGUGAUUCUCCUGCCUCAGCCUCCCAAGUAGCUGGGACUACAGGCACGCGCCACCACGCCCAGCUAAUUUUUGUAUUUUUGGUAGAGAUGGGGUUUCACCAUGUUGGCCAGGAUGGUCUCGAUCUCUUGAUCUCGUGAUCCACCCACCUUGGCCUCCGAAAGUCCUGGGAUUACAGGCGUGAGCCACCGUGCCUGGCCUUGUUCAUUCUUUCUAAACACUGCUCCACACAGAUCACUCCACCCCUGCACAGAAACCUUCAAUAGCUCCCCAUUGUCUAUGGAAUAAAGUUCAAGGCCCUCCACCUGGCCUUCAAAGCCUUCCACAAUCUGCCUCAUGGCUUUCUUUUCCUCUAGGAACUCACACUAACCCUUUAGGUCUAGAUCACGAGUCCACCCAUAGGCUGGCACCUUCAGUGAAGAUUUGCUGUUGCAUUGAGUUUGACUGAUCCCAAGUCCUCAAUAUGCAGAUCAAGAGAUCUAAAGUUCUACUCAGAUAAUUAGAGGUCACUUGGCUGUGAAUCAUGGCACUUGAGAACUGAAAGGUUGUCGCCUUUGCCUAGUCCAAUACCAUCAAUUUGAAAAGAAAGACUCUGAGGAACAGAGAAGUAGGGUACUUGCUUCUGGUCACAGACUCAAACUCAGACUAUGGUCAGUGGCUGAACUGACACUAAGAACCCAAAGGCCAAAGGGUUUCUGGAGUACAGAAGAAAUCAGUCUUUGGUUUUCUCAGGCUUUCUCAGGCUUCAAGCACCUACCCAUGCAGAACAUGAAUCCUCUUUUUAGAGAGCUUUAGAAAGUCUGGUAGCCCUUUCCCCACAGAACCAGACAAGACACUGAGCAGCCUACAGGGUGCUCUCUGCCAGUGUACCCUAGGACCCAGGUGGUCUAAGGCCUGCAGAAGAGAGAGCAGAGGAGCUGGGUGAGGGAGCUGUGGCAGUGGUAGAAGAGGAGGUGGUUGUGAUUCUGUACUUUGCAGGCCCAAAUGUGGACUGCAGACUCAGUCUGUAAUAGGGUGGAGGUGAGCCAAUGAAGUGUCUGUUUUUGCAGCGUGUGUGGUAAUAAGAGCCAAACCUUGUAGGCUUAGCCUCACUGCCUCUGUUAUUCAGGCUGGACAAGCACAAGCCCCAUGGCAGUGACAGGUGAGGUUGUUAAAGAGGACAUCUAGACAUGCACAGAAUCUCCCCAGACCAGUGACAGAAUCUCAGGUUUGGAAGGGACCUUGACAGUCAUUAAGCCCCAAUUCUGACCAAAGCUUCAGUCCUCUUAACAAUGUCCCUAUUCAUGCCUUUGUUGAAUGGCCACAGUUACAAGACAGGAAGCUCCACUGCCAUUGCAACCAUUGCAACGUGCUUUCUGCCUGUGUGGGUCCUCUCAUCUACUGGCACCUGCUGGGUAUCCCCAUGGGUAAGGUCCUGAAUGCUACAUCUUUUUAAACCUCUUCUCCAUCAAAACCUACUUGACCUGCGUCUCAUCAGGGUACCAUUUCCUGUGGUAGCUCUUCUCCAAAAGUAGCUCCAACAAGCCAUGCCUUUUGACACUCAUGGCUUCGUGUAGUUUCCUCCCACAAUGAGCCAGGGCUGGCCUGUAACAUGCUCUAACCAACAAGAUGGGGCAGAAGUGAUGCUCUGCCAAUCUGGGGACAAAGCCUUCAGAAGGCCUGGCAGCUUCCACUUUAGUGCUUCUGGGAGCCCUAAACUGCCACGUAAGAUGUCUGGCUACCCUAGAGACACCAUAUGGAGAGGGAGAGUCUCUGAGUCUCCAUAGAGUGAGAGAACAGUCCUGUUGUCCCAGCAUGCCAACUGAGUCCAGGGUUCCAGCCACCUGCCACAAGGUCCCAGACGUGUGUGAGCUAUCCUGAUCACCCCAGCCUAGUCUGGCCCCCAGAUGACUGCAGCCCAGCUGACAUCACAUGGAGUACAAGACCCACCCACUGAACCCACAGAACCCUGGGAGAUAAUCAUCAAAGCCCUAUGUUAUAGGUGGUUUGUUAGACAGCAAUAGAUAACUACAGUAGUUACUAUGAGCACUUUGGCACAGACUAGUUCCUCAUUGGUUUGGGUGGUGUCAUUUGGCAGAGAUGCUUGACUCUUGGGUGAUGAAACCUCCUAGAGACAGUGUCCUAACCCAAAGGUGUCCCCUAGUAGUGGGACACCAGGCACCAUGCAGGGCCAGCAGGAGAUAUUUCUGAGUACUGGAUCCUCUCAAUGCCCCAAUCUCAUCUCACAGGCUACAUACUUAAAUUUUUUAAGGACAUCCAUUUUUCCUGCAUCACAAGGGCCAUGAGCUAUCUCCCUUAUACCCGUAGACAAAGGGGAGGCAGAUUCCCACCCAGUGGGGGCAAGAAGGAAGUAAACACAAUUAAGGAUACCAUUUUUGAGACUCAGGUUCUCACGAAUCUCCUCAUGGUCGCAGGGAUGAGUGAAGUCAAAGAUACUAUGUCCUGUUAGCUCCACCUGUUUCAAAAACAAGGUUAGGCAUCAUUAUUCCUAACAGUGAAGUAAAAGACUCCAAGAGUAAGCUGAGCCACCUUCCAGAUUUGGAGGCAGGGAGGAGACUGAAUUGGGUUUUCUCAUAAUCCCAGUCCAGUGUCAGGUCCACAGACAGAAAGAUGUAAUCGGGGACUACUGAUGAUGACAGAGACUUGGUCUGUUAAUGAGUCAGUAGAGAGCUGUCUACCAGGAUGGACAUGAGCAAAGCCAAACCCAAUGCUUGGGGGUGGGAGCGUGGCCUGAGGCGUGUGGCCUGAGGUCAGCGAGGGUCACCGUGGGCAUUUGCAGGGAGAGGUCAAGUGGGAUUGUGGCUAGCACCUUCCACUCAUUUCUACCCCCAAAUGGAAACAUUUCUUCUUUUGAAAGAGAUAGAGGAGGGUGUCACCUGUGUAAGUCCCAUGAACUUGCUGAUGUUUUCUGACAGAAAGAUCAUGUCGCCAUCUUGGGUCACCACGGCAAUGAAACCCUCCAAGGCUUUCAGGUACAAGUUGUCCAUCUGCUGGUCAGCUUCGGCUUCGGACUCGUUUUCAGAGCAAACUGGAAAGGGGGGGGGGUGGGACAGCUUGCAUGAAUGUGGAGUGAAAACAGAUGGGACUGGCACAGAUAGGCAUUUGCCAGGGAUGGUGCAAAGGCAUUGGGUGGACUUUUCUGGAAACGCAUACUGCCAACCAUCUGAAUGUCUGCCUCCGCCUGGCAGCAGGCACCACUGCACAGAGGACACCCUGACGGGAGCUGUGAGGACAGUGUGCUUGUUGUGACAACAGUACUUCUGGCACUAGUAAUGAGAGCAGUAGGAGCUGCUGUGUGAGUGGUUCAGGGUGGAAGUUUUCCCAAGCUGCCCCCAGCAACCACCUGUACAGCCUAUAGACUCAGCUCUUGUCCCAGACCACAAAAACCUUUUAGGCCCCAGGCCUUUGGCUGUUAUACACAGACCAUAGACUUUAUUUCAGCCCUCUAGCCCUCUUCUCCUAGUUCAUUAUUUAUCUCCAAAGACAUUUACUUAUGAAAAUCUGUAUUUAUCCAGUGCAAACAUCAAUCAAAGUAUGCCUGAAUAUAAUGGUAGUCGUAGUAGUAGGAACAAAUUUUAGCUGCUAAUAUAUACUGCAAUUACUACAUGAAAGGUACUGCACUAAGCAUGCUAUGUAAUCUUCACAGUGACCGACGAGGUAGCUACUAUUCUUAAUCUCAUUUUACAGAUGAAGUGUAGAGAGGUUAAGCCAUUUGUCCAAAGGUAUAAAGAUUGCAAAGCUAGCAAGCUUUGACAGCUGAAUCCAGAAGCCACACUCAACCAUUCAUAGGCUUUGGAGUUAAACACAGGUUCUAUUCCUAGAUCAGCCUCCUAUUAGGCUAUGACUCUGGAUAAGUAACAACCUCUUUGGAUAUCACUUUCCUCAUCAGCUAAAUGGGAAUAACAAUUUCCAUCUCUGAAUUGUAAGGAUAAGUACGUAAAGUGCCUAAAACUAUAAGAACAGUAAAUUCUUUCUUCUUUCUGCUCCAAGACAUGCACUACCCUCAAAUUGCUCAGAUCCCAGGUGAGGAAUAUGUAGCACUCAGAGAUGCAAAGCUAAAUAAAAGUUCAAGGGUGUCAUAGCUGGGCUCCCAAGGAAAAGUGUAGAUGGGAAGAGCUCUAAGGGGUCAGAGGACGAGGGGGUCGCUUUGGGGUGAUCACAGACAACUAACUGUUGCAAAGAAGAUUUGAAGAGUCUUAGAAAAAACAGAUUUCACUCUGUGGAAUGCAAGAAGGGCCUUCUGAACCAGACGGGAUUGUGUGAACACUGGAAAACACCUGGAGCAAGCUUCAGUCCUAGGACUGAAGAGAGGCCCAUCUGGCUGAAGAAGAGAAUCCAUUUCCCAGUCUCAGAGAUUGGGCUGGUGAGGCAGGCCCAGUGUCCUGGAGGGGCCUCACAUGUCAAGCAAAUGUGAUCAGAGGAGUGCAUCUCAAAGCACUGCUUUGGGGAGAUUAGUCUGGCAAUGGCGUACAGAAUGGUUUGGAGAGAGUGAAGCCCAGAGGUGCAAAACAGAGUGAGCAGGCAACUGCAUUCUCAGCAGGCCGUACAGGUGGUUGCUGGGUGCAGCCUAGGAAAACUUCCACCCGGAACCACCCACACUUUGAGUAUCCUGCCCUAUCUAGUAUACCUCUGCUAUCUGAAAAAUAUAGACUCGGCUCUUGUCCCAGACCAAAAGAAACCUCUUAGGCCCCAGGCCUUUGGUUGUUAUACACAAACCACAGACUUUAUUUCAGCCCUCUUCUCCUAGUUCAUUAUUUAACUCCAAAGACAUUUACUUAUGAAAAUUUGUAUUUAUCCAGUGCAAACAUCAAUCAAAAUAUGCCUCACUUGAUUUACAGAACAAGUGGAUGAGAGUAAUAUGUCAGUUGCAAACAUUAACAUUCACUGAACUAAAAGGAGUCUUCCAAAUGGAGACUAUUCUAAGGAAUGUAGAAUGCAAUUCAAUUUAUGGGCCACUUGGCCAGGGACACAUCAAUGCUGUGAAAUGUCGUUCAAGGGCCUUUCUGCAAGGGAACUGGGUUUCUCUUUUAUCUUUUUCCUGGAGCCUCUAAAUUUAAGCUUUGGGUUACCUGCUGUUAUUCCUCAAGAAGAACAAAUCCACAUUACAAGAUCUUCCUACCAAGAGGCUUCAGUGAAGGCAAAGGGGACCAGCUAUCUUUCAGGACACAGGAUCAGAGAACACGCCAGAGUCACAGAUGCCUUUUGCAGAGGAUCACAGUGGGUCCUGUCCGGGGAUGGGCAAGGCUUCAGAGCCAAGAGUUGGGUUGUACAGAGUAAUGCCCCGGUGGCUUUCCCUCUGUUCUGCUAAAAUGGUGAAACAAGGGAAAUUCUUUCCUCUGCACACCCUGGUUCAGGCGGCUAGCCUGGAGAGGGGAGAACCACAGGUCAUGGGAAUGACCUUACACCAUACACAUACGCACACCUGAUCCCUGCUUGGGGUUUCUGCUGAUACACCUGUUCUCUGCCAGCUCAUCAGCCCGCUGAAGCGAUGAUGCAAUGUCCCAGGUGUGGGCGAUGCCACUGUGAAUGUUAGCUUUCCCAGCUAAAAUCUUCAUUUGAACAGGGGCUUUAGGGGAGAAAAUGACUUAACUCAGUGCUUUCAAAUUUGAGUAUGCAUCAGAAUCAUCUAUAGGCCAGGCUGAAAGAAACAUUUCUGAGACCAGCACUGCUACAUAAUUUGCGUGGCCCAGUGCAAAAUAAAAAUGUGAGACCUCUCAUUGGAAAAAUUAAACCAAGCCUGAGAACUUUCUAAGUGUGGCGCCCUCUAAGACUGCCUGUGCUGCACGCCCAUGAAGCUGGCCCUGGACGGGCCCCUGCUGGGUUCCUGGUUCAGUAGAACUGAGAAUCUGUUUUUCUAAAAAGUUCCCAGGUGACGCUGACCCUGCUACUCAUAGGACCACAUGCUGAGAGCUAUGGCCUCAACUCAAAGAUCCUACGAGUGACCUUAAUUACCCUGUGCUGGCAGGUGGUGACUUAUUUUGGAGAUGAGUGAGGAGAGGUUUUCAGCGCCACUUCAAUCACACCAGAUAGGUGACCACCUUCUGUAGAUACACAGAGGCCAACCCUGUGGUUUCUAGCCAACCGAGAAGAUAUUUUCUCUUCAAUUUCUUUGAUCUCAGUGGUAACGCUGACUUCAAAAUCUGAAGUAAUCCCAAGACAACCCUAUUUGGGUUAACUAGUCCCAGAGGAAAUAGUCCUGCUUAAAAUUUCCUGUUUUUAACAGUUCCAACACAGCCAAACUGGUUUCCACCCAUGCCCAGUGCAUUUGCUUCCAGGAGGUGGCGAAAUCGGCUACAGCAGCAUCGGGUCAGCUGGCCUCCGGGAGGGAGAGGGGCAAUCUAGGGCCACGAAGGGUAACAGAAUGUCUUGGGACUGCGGUCACAAUGGCUGGAGGACCAGGAAGCCAGCAGGUUGGCCCCAGGGACCCUGUGACGGCAGGGCCGGGACAGGGUCUCUUCCCUCUGUGGAACUAGUUGCCCUCACAGCACCUGCUUGUUCUCCUGGGAGCUUCUGAAGGAACCUGGCCAGGUCACUCCCAGCUUGGAGCUGAGAGUGAAAACUGGGGAGCCAGGAGGUAGCCCCUCACCGUGGAGGCUCAUGUCACAAAUCUGCUGAAGACCCUUCUGCCUCUUCCCCUAUGAACAUCGUGUCUUCCCUGACGUACCAUUAAUAUCCUACUCAGUGUUACGGACAUGGGAAAAUGCACGCGCUCCCUACACCAUUAUUAAGUUUCUACUGUGUUCAUGUCUGCUUUAUGCUAGGCACAAGGUAAUCUGUCCAGAAGUGUCACUUACUGUGUGCUCAGUCCUGUCUUAAGGAGAAUCAGGGAUACUGAAAGGUGUAAGGGCAGUUCCUUCCCUCGGAAUCGACAGACUGGUGGGGAAGACAGAUAAACUGCUGUAAGGUGAUGCCACAAUCCAGCAUCAACUCUUGGUCAGAACAAAGUGAGGAGCCCAGAGUAGGUGCUCAAUAAGCCACCAAGUGGGUCUGUAAAUCAUCCUGGGCUCCAGAUCUCAGUUACUUGCUUCCGAGGACCCUUCAGGGUCUGACCCCAAAGACGAGAGAUGGCUCAUUAAAACCAGAGGUGCUCUGCUGAGAAAGUGCAUGCCCGUCCUGGGGAGCAUAACAAGAUUCUUUAAUGCUAAAAAUAGCCCCGGUAAACAGGCUUUGAUGACUCCCCACAGCCAGGAUAUGCGCGGGCUGAGGUUUUGGAGCACUUUUUCCGGAGCAACGCUCAUUUCCUUCAGGCAGCACCGCCCAUGUGGGGUGGGACUUCCUGGGCAGCAGGGGCUGUGCAUUGGGAGAGAGCAGGCAGAGUGGCAGAGCAGAGGCUCCUGAGUGGUCUCAGAGACCAGGCUGCCCCACGGUGCUGCUGGUCAGAAUGCUGGCUGCACUUUUAUUCCACCAAGGUCGCUUUGCCUCUUGUUUCCUACUCCGAGAAGUUCCAGGACUGCUCUGACUGUUCUUAAAGCCAUUCUGAUGGGGUCUUCCUGGUUCAGAUGUGCUUGGCAGUUACCACUUUGUGACCACCACAGGGGCCUUCCUUCUAAGGCUCUGCCUAAACUGAUUCCUCCCCUCCACCUGACCCACAGCCUGGCCCCUCAAACCCCGCCCUCCCGGAUGUGCAGACUGCAAGAGCAGUGCCAGUCAAGCCACAGGGAAAUCACUCUGGGAUCGCUUACUGGAUCCUUAGCCAUACCUUUAAAUGCCACCAUUAGCAGGCCUGGGCUCCUCUGAUGCCUUUGACAGAAGGCACUGUGUCCUUCCUGAUCUUCCUGGGCUCCCUGAGAGUCCUGAAAGUCCACUAGGAGAGAUUCAUGCCUUUGUUCUUUGCAUGUAUCUUACUAUCCUAUCUUGCCUCUCUGUAUUACCCUUGAUGUAGUACAGGACUGGGUUCAGCAAACACCUGUUGACUGACGAGACUUUUUAGUUUAAGUUAAAGGAAUGAUCUGAACAAAGUCAGUAUCUCUAGAAGAGACUGUAUAUUAGCUGUUCUCACCCAUUAACAUCCUCACAUGAAUCAGCUUAUUGAGUUCUUUCCAAACAGGACAGAAAAAGGCCUUGAUUUGGAGUGGGUGGGACAAAGGGGUGGAGGUAGGAGUGAAAGCCUGGGAAAAGAAGUCUGAAAGUGGGGUGUGAGAGGGUACCAGAACAUAUAUCUGCCUCCACAAUUCUUUCUUUGUCCCACUUUUCCUGCAUGGAAAGGUCAUAUCAAGCCUUAAAAACUUUAAAAUCACUUGUCUCACAUUUUAAUAUCCUUCCCUUAGUAGUCUAGAGAUCAGGAAAAUAUAAUCUCUUGUUAUAACUGAUGUCUUCGCUAAGCAAAUGAUGAUGAAUCCAUAAUGCAACUGACACUUCUCUUUAGAAACCUUGCUUCACGCUGAUCUCCAGGUCCAUGGAAAAUGAAUUUGAUUUCGCCAUGUAUGAGUUUGGGCAAGCCCAAAAUUCAGUUUUACAAUGAAAAGCAAAUUUUGUAUAUUCACUGCGGUUUAAUGCCCUCAGAAUGCAGAGUUGACCCUGAUUCGCUCAUGGUUUGUGGGGCUCAUCUUGAAAGAGGAUUUAGGACAAUCAAGUGGCAUUUCCACCGAUGUUCCUGUAAGAGUGUGUUCUGUCCUCAGCCCAGCGUGGCAGCUAAUAUCAUAAAGCUAUUGUUUCAGUUUGCUUCCUGUGAUACGAAUCUCAAUCGGCAGCCCAGACCCACAGCCUGAAUUUCUCAACGUUGAGGUUUCCUCUCCAACAUUCCCACACAGAACAGCCUACUGUGAAAAUCAAAGGGAAACGUGUUACUAAGUAAAGAGAAACUUUUCUAAAGAAAAACCUGGUAUUUUUUAGCCUUUUGAACUUUGAGGUAUGCAACCAGCUAUUUCCUAUUAUAAAGUGAGCCAAAAUUGGUACUCACCUUUGUUAGAAAUGCUUAAAUAAUGAAUGUGUGGGUUGUUUUGCCUUGGAAAAGUUUGACGACUCUGCAUUUUGAUAGAAAUUGCUAGAAAGUAGGUUAGAGGAUAGUAAGAAUUUACACUGGGUUUUCUUUUACAUCAUUUCUCCAGAAGCCUAUAUUUAAUAUAAAUCAAUAUAUUUGUUCAUAAUAAUUUUUAUUUCUAAGCUAUAACUUAUUGAGAGCUUAAUAUGUGGCAGGCUAGAGGAUAAGGCCUUUUAUAUCUGUUAUCUCAAUCCCCAAAUAACAUUGCAGGGUAAGCACCAUUAUUCCCUUUGUGCAGAUGAGGAAACUAAAGCUCAAAGAGAAAUUUUUACUACAUUGCAGAGAAAGAAGGCAGCCAAACUAAGAUUCCAAUGCAGGUCUAUCUGCCCACAAAUCCCGUACUCCUCUUCAUAACGCUACAUGUGUUGGAAAAGCAAAAUACGAUUUAGAAAGAAAAAGAUCUUGUCUUACAAUUUCUGAAAAUAACUUAACAAUCAGUCUAGCGAAUGUGUGGCAGGAGCCUGGGAGAGAAGUCAGAGAAAAGCGGGUGCUGAGAAACCAUCUCCUCCUCCCUGGGCUGUGCUCGUUUGGUGAGAAUUUCUCCUUCAAGGACAUCAGGACCACAUGGCCAAAAGUAGAAACUUUUUAUCCUUUUCCUUCAUUUCUUUCCUUGGGACAGAGAGGACCAGAGCUGACAGGCUAAAGGCUCUAGCUGGUCUAGGGCCGAGCCCAGCCAGAGGGCAGGCAAGUUUGUGUCCACAACUUUCAACAGGCUCCGGAGAUGGGAUAGAUAUGGGAUGUCCCACUGUGGCCACUCUGGUCCUAUCUCUGUGGGUGUGUUUAGCACACAGGGGUUCCCAUCAGCACAUGAGGGCUCACACCAGAACACACACAGGUAGAUGUGCUCAGGGAGUCCAGCCUAACUCGUGGCCUUUUCGAGGCCAACCUUUGAACCACUGAGAUGGACAGCCAGGCUCAGGAGGGCAAGCAUGCAAAACGAAGCCCUGCACUAGGGGGAAGGACAGGACAACUCUCUGAAUGUGUGAGGACCUCCUCCCCAUCACGCUGGCCCCCAGCUGCUUCUGUUGACCUUUGUUCCCCUACCUUCUCCCUUCCCCCACACCCCAUACCCCAGCCCUUGUCAGCAUCUUUGCCUGACCAGGUUUACAAAAUGCUCUUGCUGUCCCAUGUCUGUUUUCCCAUGGACCAAAAUUCAAAAGGACUUGAAUUCCAGGUGCAGGUUCACCAUGUGCUAAAUGUGUGACUUUGAGCAAUCUUAACCUGUCUGUGCUUCACUUAUCUGUGAAAUAAGGAGAAACACAACGAGUCCAAAUUUAGUCAGAGGCAUUCUACAAUUAAUAUACAGGUUGACUGUCCCUAAUCUGAAAACCUGAAAUCUGAAAUGCUCCAAAAUCCAACACAACAUUCAAAGGAAAUGCUCAUUGGACCAUUUCAAAUUUCAGAUUUUUGGGUUAGGGAUGCUCAACUGAUAAAUACAAUGCAAGCAUUCCAAAAUCUGAAAAAAUUAAAAAAUCAAAAGCACUUCUGCUCCCAAGCAUUUCGGAUAAGGGAUACUCAACCUGUAUUACCCCUUCUGGGGCUUUGUGUGGGUGGAGGAAUUGGGAGUGGUGAUGAAAGAAGCAAUGAUUAAUCCAAAGGAAUUAAUGUCUAAGAGCAAAAUCUCAAGUACCACAGCAGGAAAGCAGGGGAGAGGGUUCUCACUGUGGGGAAGGGGCCUCCAUCCAGUCAUUAAAUCCUCCACUGUCUACUCUUUUUAUGUAAAGAUGAUUGCAACAUUAGCCAACUUGGCCCUCAGUUAUCCAGUAAGACAAGCCUUUUUAAAGGGAGGGGUACACAAAUGCCCUGUGAUGGAGUCUCCCAGCCUUUCUUAUAUCCAGCAAUCCAAGCCUUGCCAGGGCUCAGCCCACUGUUCUCUCUUUGCAGCAUCUAGGAUCAUGUAUCUGCCAUUGUCUUGCAUUGUUCUUUGAAAGUAUUUAUGGAGCAUAUCUUCCCCCUUGGCUCUCCUGCUCUUGUCUGCACAUUUCGCCUCUUUAGGCCUAGCCCUCCAACCCCAGGCCCACUGAGCUGUCGUCCUAUUUUCUGAAAGUCUGUCCCCCAUAUCCUUCCUGUACUACAGGGACCAGAAUAGUACAUUCUGGUCUGGCCUCCCAGCCUCACACUGGAUUCCCUCUUUCCCAGAAUAGCCACUUCAUAACAGGAUGGCGGAGUCCACCGUCUCCAAGGCACCAGGCUUACUCCGGAAAACUGAAAAACAACCACAAAAGAACCUUCCCUCCCUGAGUGCCUCCCUCAUGCUCACCCGUCAGACACUGUCCCCACCUGUGGCACCAGACCAGGUGGGGAGGAGCACAACUCGUUGCCCAGCGUCCUUACAGAACUGACACCCCUGACGAGAAUGUCACCUAGGAUCUGAAACCAGAAGACUACUCAAGACACCUGUUUCUGGUCAGGACGCAUAGGAAAUGGUUUCUUGAAGAAUGUAACUGAGAAAAAGCAAAUGUCUUGUGAACUUUGGAGUUGCAGAGGUGCUAGGGAGGGGAGAACCAGUUAUUUUCCGAGGGAGGGGUGAUGUCAAGGACUCCCCAGUGUGAGUGAGCUCAGCCAGGCCAGGUGCUUUAUGGACAUCAUUUCAGUCCAUUCUCACCGACACCCUGGGCAAGAAGUAUGUUUAACCCCAUUUUAUACACGAGGAAACCAAUGUUCAGAGAGACUAAAUGAUUUACUUGGCCUAACUGGCUUCUCAGAGGGAAAAGAUCAUCCGGGCACACCUUCUUGCUGUUCUGGAGAAGGCACUGGAAGUUAAGGAUUAGAAUGCUUCCUGCGGACUCAAUCUAGUGUGGAGGAUGGGUCUUAUGGCCAGAUGGCAACAAAUUGAGAAGUCAGCAAAAGCCGUCCUUGGUUCUCCCAGCCCGUGUUCUCCACAGCCUCUGGGUGCCCAUGUUCUUCCCUGGUCCUGUCCCUGCCCUCCUCUCACAGCUGGAUUCACGGUAAAGGUCACUGCUGGAAGAGAGAUGUUUAACAUGAAGGAAUAAAUCACUCAUGAUGGUGUUUCUGUGGGUGAAAGUUCUGUAGUGGGGUGACUUUCCAGCUCUGGCAGCAGAAGGGUCCCCUGCAUAUAGGAACAUGCUGGUAAGGCUGGCAUCUGCCCAGCCUAGGGGAGCCUGCUGGCCUUACCUGAGGAGAGGAGCUUGUGUGUUCGCAGGAAGCUGAUUGCCAGUCGCAUGAUGGAGGCCUUGUCCAGAUGGGAGCUCACACUGUGGGGCAGAGGCAGCUCAUGGGCCAGCUCAUAGAACACCUCCGUCUCCUUGCUCCGCCGGCACCGCGCAGCAUCCCGGGACUUCUCCUUCCUCCUCUCCGAGCUACUCCUAAGUGGAGAAGAAGGGGUUAGUCCCGGAAAGGUUACUGUCAGCCUAUCAUACCUCUGGCCAGGACAUCCCCAUGGCCCCAACCCCCAGUGCAGCCACACUCCCUUACUAGACUGAUCUGGGCUCACACCAGUUGUCUGAGCCACACACAACCUGCUUUGUAUUGUUAGCUCUGCUUUUGUGUGUGUUGGUGUCUUCACAACCAAAGUCCUCCUCUUGCAUUCCCUGUGGAGGCCAGAACAGGGCUUCACAUGGGUGGAGUCUGGGCAAAGACUGGCUGAUUAAAUUAACUACCAAUGCCUGGGACCUAGCCCUGGAAUAUCUGGGGAUAGGGGUGAAUGUCCAGGGAUGGAAAGAGAAGGGUAAGGAAGCUAUGAUCAGUGGCUCAGAUGGCUUUGUCAAGGGCUCUGGAGAACAAGAUAAAAAAACUGCUUUAAGGUUCUUUUUCUGCAUAAGACACAAUCAGAAAAAAUUAAGAGUAGUACUGAACCCUAGAUCCCGCUUCAUACCAGAAAGUGAUUUCCACAGUAAAAACUGAAAAUGCCAUUACAGCCCCAGAACAGUUAGCCAGACACCCAACAGUCUAGAGUACCAACGUGCGUUCUGUCAAGGAUUAAAAAGGAGUGGGCACAAACAUUUUCUCUCUAAGCCCUGCCAGCAUAGGUUGCCAGGCUGUCUCAGCCUCAUUCUCCUCUUUGCUGCAGGAUGGAACGAAAGAUGACACGCACUGAAGCCUGCCUCUUUUAGAAGUCCUAAAGAAAUCCUGGACUUUCUUAUAAAGUCCAUGGCAAGUUCUAGCACGGGCAAUAUUUAAAAGCCAGAAUGUUUAGAUUGGAGUUCUAACUUCUCUGCUUGUUAGCUCUGUAAAUAAAUCAUUUAAACUGCUUAGCCUCAGUCUCCUCAUCUGUAAAAUGGUAACAAUAGUGCUUACCCUACAGAGUUAACUGUGAGGACUAAAUGUGAUAAUUUAUGUAAAAUCUUUAGCACUAAGCCUGUUCCAACUGUAAGCAAUCAAUGUUAGCUAAUACUAAUUAAAAAGAUGGCCAUGAAAAGACAAUCAUAAGAGUUAAAAAGUUACAAAACAGUACAGGACAAUUCUAUUUUCACAGAAAUGUAUUAUACAUAAUACUUCCUAUAAAUUAUAUAGGAGAAAGGCUAGAUGCAUAAUAACUAUUAUUAUAGGUAUCACAGACAUAGUGCUUACAAGGACUGUUUUAAGCAGUACUACCUUGGCUUAUUUAAACUCACACAACUGCCCUUGGAAGUAGGCAUUAUUAUUAUUAUUAUUAUACCUAAUUUACAUAUGAGGAAACUGCCCCAUAGAGGCCAAGUAAUUUACCUGUGGCCUCCAGCAGGUAAAUGGGGAAGUCGGGCUUUGCACUGGGAAGGUGGGCCCCAGAAUCAUGGCACUUAACCACCAAUGACUGUCCUGUCUCCUUCUACUCAAAAAUGUUAGCAGUUGCAUGGUAGUGAGGUUAAAGGGAGUUUUUUUGGUUUUUGUUUUGCUUUGUAAUGCUUAUCUGUAUUUUCUUGUGUUUCUAUAAAUAACCUAUAUUGCGUAUUUAAUGAAGAAACAAGUAUGUUUUUUAUUUUUUUAAAAAGCAUCUAAGCCAGGCAUGGUAGUAUUUGGACCUGUAGUCCCAGAUGGGAGAAUCACCUGGGCCCAGGAGUUCAAGACCAGCCCGGGCAAUAUAGUGAGACCCUGUCUCUAUAAAAAUAUAAAUAAGAUAAAAUAAAAAAGCAUCCAGCGAAGUUCAUAGGUUUCAAGGCCUCAAUCCAAUCAGCUCUAGCUGGCUCGUUCUGUCCUGCCAUCUGAGAUCCCAGAGGCUGCUUCUCCUUUUGUUUGGCUUUGCAGCCUGCUAUUUGGACAGAAAAUCUGUAUUUUGGGAUUCAUGGAAUGUGAGCAUGCCUCUCAAAUCCCUCAAGAUUUGGGGCAGAAGCACUGUUUUGAUUUUACAACAUACUUCAUUUAAAAAGACAGACUAUCCAGCUCCGUGGAUGGAUUAAGCAUCAUAUACUCGGAUUAAAGGAUGAAUCGUCCAACAGCUGUUGAUGGUCAAGAAGAACCUUCAGAAAAAUUGUGAAAUGAGUGAAACUAUUUUUCUCGUCAUGUCUCCCUUCUCUGCUUCCUUUAUCUAAUCCCUGUUUCCCUCUCUCCCUGACUUCCAACCUUCAGGACACCUACCCCUGCACCCCCCUUUCCCCACCUUCUCAGGACUUGCCCUGAUUAGACCUUUAGUGGCAGUUUUUAUAUUAGUCCCUCCCACGUGCAUUUUAAUCCUGACCUGAUUGUGGAGAAAAAGUUAAAGAAUUGCAAGUAUUCUGGCACAGGAAAGGAAGAUGGGAAGAGGGCAGGAUGCUGAAACCGCACACAUCAUGCCUUUGGAUCAGGAGGGUCAGGUGAAAGAUGCUGGAUUUCAUUACUAACCCUUGUGCUCUCCAACAAAAGCAUCAUCAACACAUAACCUCGUCAUCAGGGGCCAAGGGAAGCCAUCCUGAAGCAAAAGCAAUCCCAGCACAGGCUAUGGCAUUAACGCCAAUAUCUGCAUGCACAAAGCUUCCCUCUGCCAUUGGCCCCUUCCUCGAAGAAGAGGCAGAGAGGAAAAGCCAGGUAGGGAAAAGGCAAUCUGGAGUCAAUGCUCUGACAAUGGCAUCUGAUAUAUGAGUCUUGCUGUGCUUUUUGUGCCUGGUGCUCUAUCAAAAACCUUUCAUAUAUUAGUUCAUUAUACUCUUCCUAACAACAAAAUAAAGUAGGUAUUGUUUACACAGUUUAGAGAUGUGGAAACUGACGCUCAGAAAUAAUAUGUCAUUUGCCCAAUGUCACAAAGCCAAUGCCUACAUAAGCCAUUUAAGGGUUUAUAGUCAGUGAGCAGACACUUAGAAGUCCGGAAACACACAGGGGAUCCCUAUCUAAUUCCAUCCUUGCAACCAAGUGAGGUAGGCAAGACAGGUACUGUCACUGUUCCCCUUUCACAGAUCUGGAAACAGACACUUGAGCAGGUAAGUUACUUGCCUAGAGCAACCCAGCUAAUCAGUGGCAGAGCUAGGGCUAGAACCCUGCUCUUCCUAGGCGAAUACUCUUUUCACUGCUUAACUGUAGGAGAUAGUGGCUUUGGCAAGAAAUAAAGAAACAGCAACACCUUAGCUUCCAGAAAAAGGAAGAUUGAGAAUCUUAGGCAGCCUCUUGGUUCAAAAGUCAGGGAGGUGGGAUUUCAGCUGAACCUAAAAGGACAAAUAAUAAUGCCUUUACAGAAAGCACUUCUUCUUAACAUGUGUUAUCUCAUUUGAUUCUCACAACCCUGAGAGAUAGAAACUAUCAUCUCCAUUUAAUAGAUGAGGAUGUGGAGAUUUAGAGAGAUUAAAUAAUUUGCUAAAAACAUUGUCUCAAACCUAGUUCUUCUGGGUCCAAGAUCAAAAGUUUUUCCAUUGGCAGCAAGGAGACUAUCAUUUACUGUACAACUUUGAUGUUCCCUGUGCUGUGUUGAUACUUUCCCACAACCUGGAUGCUCACACAUACUUUGGGAAGAAGGGCUAAUACUUUUUUAAAUACAGUGACAAAAAUUUCAUGAGGGGAGCCUCAUGUCUUUAAGUGUGCACCCAUUCACCUUAGGAGAACACCUGGAAUGUUAAGAGUAGGACUAAGAACCAGCAUCAGAGUUCAGAUGGGGUCGGCGGGGGAAGAAGGGACUAAGUGCUGUGGGCCUUAGCAGACACAGGUGCCGGUCACAGUAGUGCUGGGAGGGUGGGGGAAUGUUAUCAGAUGUGGCUCUGCAGUGUUCCAUAAAAGCAGCAGGUCCAACCCUGCCACAGUAUCUAUCUAUGCCGCAGGUGGAGAAAAAGGUGUUUCUUUUUGUUUUGGGUUUGUUUUGGGUUUGUUUUUUUUCCCCCUGGACAUUUUCAUAUGCACAAAUUUAUAGUUACUCUCCCCGAGGUGGAAACUCACAUUCUGAAACGUUUGAUCCCAGCUAAAGUUAACAACCACUUAAGCACCAGGCAGCCAGUCAAAAGAUAAAACAAAACUGAAAUGUCCAAAAAUUGUCAGCAGAGAUAUGCUACAGUUCAUCCAGGAAAAACCUCUUUGCCCAGAGCUUCGUUAUCUUAAAAACAUCUUAACUUUUAGGUCAUUGCUCCGAGCAUGGCUUAGGGAUCGCUACUUAGGUCAUGAAUCUAAGGAUGAUCUGCUCUUGGUCAAGAUGAUCUUGGUUCCUGACUUCCAUAUGAACACAGCCUGGAGUGAGGCCCCAAGAUGUCUGUCACCAGUAACACAGAGGGGUUGGCUGCCUAAUUAGCUAGACUUUUAGAGUGAUUAGGACUCACAUGCCUAAUGCCUGUGGCCAUUCAGGUAUCAAAACAAUAUGCCUAUUACCCUAUAAGGUUAAAUGGCUUAGAAACAGAAUGGAUUUCAGCAGGUAAAGAGAUGACUGAGGCUAAUUAAGCCAGCUGGGAUCAGUCUAUUGGUUGGUGGUGAAAUUCCAAGCUGGAGCCAAUUUGCAAGAAGCUGAGAAUGGAGGAAAUAAAGGUCAAAUGCAAUUGGGAGAGGUCUAGUGACACUUCUAUGAGGCUUGUGGCUGCUGUACAGGGGCUGCCUGAUAGGAGAAACACACCCAGCUCCAGGUUCCAGAGAUGAGAAAGAGUCACUGGUCCCCAUACUUAACUGGGGCAGAACCAAAGUCGGUGGUUCUCAGUUUUGCUGCUCACUGGAGUCACCAGAGGAACCUUAAAAAACAGAUGCCUGGGCUCUAUCCCCAGAGAUUCAGAUUUAAUAGGUCUCAGGUGCAGGCUGGGCAAUGGGAGUUUUAAAAGCUCCCCACGUGUAGCCAGGGCUGAGGACCACGGUUCCAAAGCAGCCAGUUUUUAAAGGAAGGAUGGAUGGGUGGGUGUGUGUGUGGUGGGGGGAGGCAGAUGGGGUUGGACUUAAAUGUUUUUGGAGAUGCAAACAGCUAUGUCACCUUUCUCAAAGAGUAGGAUGAAAAGGAAACAUAUUUAUUGAGCACUGGGGCCAGAUGCAUUUAAUAAAUGGUCUCAUUUGAUCCUCACUUAAAUGAUGCAGUGUUAUUGGCCCCAGUUUUGCAGAGCCGUGGGUCUCAAUUUUAGCUUGCAUCAGAAUCACCUGGAGGACUUAUGAAAACAUAGAUUUCCAGGCCUGUGAUCAUGUGUCUAUGGAAGACUGACGCCCAGGUCCACUUCCAAAACCUAACCACACUCUUUCCCUCUACCAUGCACUGUGUCCAUAUUCACUGUGUCCAGCAAAUUUGAAGUCACCAUCAUAAGCCAAACAGUCAUUUAUCUAGGAGUUGGUGUGAUCACCACUGUACCAGAUGCUAUGGCUAAUAGGAAGAGGGAGAUGAAAAUAAUGAGACAUGUGAAAUAGAUGCCACACAGAAGGUGGCUACCCUUCAAAGAAGCCACCUUGGGAGAAGCCUAUAACUUUAUGCUGGUAGGUGGCCAUCGCUCUGUCUUUUGGGAAGUCUUUUAGAAUUAACUUCAGAGCCACAUAAGAAAAUCAGUCACAACUCUUCAAAGGACACACCUCAUUUCAAACCCCAAACAAUAUUAUCCAGUUUACCCACCCCGUUAGUCACCAGACUUAGCUGUGGAUGGAUUGUGGUUGUUUGAUAGGAUAAAAUGUGCCCUCAAAAGAUAAGACUUUGCCACAAUUGAAGGUAUUGAAAAGAAUGGUCUUGGCUGUGAGGGCCAUUCCAAAGGAGUGACAAAAAUGUUUGAGAUGAAGGCAGUGUUCCAGUGGUCAGUGUUCUAGGUACAUUCUGAUGUCCAAAGGCUGCAGGGAUCAGUAGGGGAAUCUAUCACAAAGGGAGGAAAGGUAUCAAUGUUAGAUAGUGAAAACAGAAAAUAGGCCAGGCACAGUGACUCAUGCCUAUAAUCACAGCACUUUGGGAGACUGAGGCAGGAGGAUUGCUUGAGCCCAGGAGUUUGAGACCAGCUGGGCAACACAGCAAGACCCCAUCUCUAAAAAAGUUAGAAAUUAGCUGGGCACGGUGGCACACACCGGUGGUCCCAGCUACUCAAGAGGCUGAGGCAGGAGGAUCCCUUGACCUGGGAGCUCGAGGCUGCAGUGAGCCAUGCACCACUGCACUCCAGCUCAGGUGACAGAGUGAGAACCCAUCUCAAAGCAAAACAACAAAAAGUUACAAAUUCAGAAUGGAAAAUAUUAAAUUAGCAAAUUCAGGAGGAGCUGGCCAGAUCAGACAGACUUUGACAAGAGAAAAAAGGCAUUAAUAUGCUUUAAUACACACACCUCUCCUGAGGGGCAUGGUCUCUAUCCUGAAAGAGACCACAGCCCAUCUGGGAGAUAAGACUAAUAAUCCACACUAGUAUAUCAAAAGUCUACAAGAGGGGACAAAGAAGAGAGAAGACAUGAGACUGGAGUGGUUAAAACAGGGACAAAUGCUUUCACUUGCCACUUCCCUGAAAGAGGAAUCCUGGAAAGCAUCUCAUACCUCAGCCUCCCAACCUCCGCUCCGCUGGGGCUGAGCCUCCAGCUCUCUGACCUACUCUAACGGUCUGUGUCCCUGGAGCAGAGGGCCUGGACUGCAUUCAGCGCUGACAGUAAUGUCUGGGGCUCACCCAGCAUGGCCCUCUAAUGGUCAAUUCUGCUUGGGUUGACUGGAGAUACUUAUCUUCUGGCCUUCUCAGCCCCAGGCAGCCUUGUAGAAAAGAGCAGCAGAUUCGAUUACUAAGCAGCCCAUCUGGGGCUCCAGAUAACCCAGCUCCUUACGUAACCGGAGGACACGUGGACUCCCCAGCCCAGCUGGGAAAAGCUGUGUGUACACAGGAAUAAUCAUAAUGAACUGUCCCUGUGCUUAGCUUCAUCAAGCCCAAGCCUUAGUGGGUGCCAAGGUCUGAAUGUUUACGUCCCCUCAAAAUACUUAUGUUGAAAUCCCCACUCCCAAUGUGAUGGUAUCUGAAGGUGGAACCGUUGGGAGGUGAUUAACUCAUGACAGUGAAGUCCUCAUGAAUGGGAUUAGUGCACUCGCAAAGGAGGCCCAGGGGAACCCUCUCACCCCUUCCACCAUGUGGAGACACAGCUAUGAACCAGAAAGUGGGCCCUUACCAGACACUGAAUCUGCUGGCACCUGGACACUGGACUUCCCAGCAUCCAGAACCAUGAGAAAUGAAACUCUGUUGUUUAUAAGCCACUCAGUUUACGGUAUCUUGUUGUAGCUGCCCAAAUGGGCUAAGACAGUGGGGCAUUCUUUAUUCUACAUAUUAGUGAAUAAUACCACUUUACAUUUGGAUCACACACUACAGUCUAAAACACUCGUGAGUGAAUCUGGAAAUCUGUAACUAAAUUUGUAAAUUUCACACAGUAGGCUAGGAAGAGCAGCUACCAUCAUUCCCAUUUUAGAGAUAAGGAAAAACUGAGGUUUAGAAAGGUAAUGGGAGUAUGUGGAACUGGAACAAAAGCCCCGAGUUCUGGCUUUUUCAAGGCCCUGUGAACAGAGCGCCUGCUGACAAGCAGCACUGGCCAUGUGGCACGAUUAGAAACAGACCUUCAUUAUCUGUCCAUCAUAUAACCUAGCUUUUCCCAACACAUAAUUUCCUUUUUAAAAAUGCCGUGGUGAAGAUAAGGGUAAUGCAUAUUUAGUAUAAGCAACUUCAAAAAUACAAAAAGGUAUGAAGAAAACGAGCUGAGAUCUCAUUGGAUUUAUAAAUUAAUACUUUGCUCUUUUUACUUAACAGGAUAUCCCAUUAAGAAUUCUUUCAAAAUAUUCAUAAUAGCCAGCAAUAUCACAUCAUGUGGCUGAACCACAAUGCAUUUUACUAUUCCCUUAUUGCUUUUCGUUAUGGUUUCUAAUUUUUAGCUGUUAUAAAUAAUGCCAUGACAACUACCUUGGCAUCAGGUAUUGCUUACUUCUUACAAUAAAAGAUAUGUAUCCAGCUUGCUGCCAGCUCCCCGUAGCCACCUCACAGUGACCCCACCCCCACCCCAUGAAAGCUGAGUUGGCAGAUUUGGCUACACUGGCAUCCUCAGGACCACAGCCAGCAUUACUGAGCACAAAGCAUGGGUCACGGUGCUUCAGAGGGCAGUAUCAGAGGGAAGGAAGACAGAACAUGCAACAGUCUCAGCCUUGGAACCAGGCUCAGCCUCCUUUUCCCAUGGCCAGCUCUCUCUAGGCUGCUUCUCUUCCUCAUGCAUACGCAGGUCAAAGCAUCUGAAGAGAAGACCAGCUGUGCUAAAACUGGUGGCUUCCUUUGACUCUAAUCCAGUUCUGAGAAGAGGGCCACCCUUGCUGAUGAGCAGGACCUCUUCCCCCACUGUAAAAAUAAAGUGUUCUUUCCAUCUUUCCCACCCCUCAUCUUAUCCACUGCAGGGAUGUAUAGAGAAGACUCGGUGCUGUCUUCACUCAUGAAAAAGCAGGGAGAAAGCCAGCGGGUGCAGGAGGCAUUUGCGUGGCUCUCCAUUGCUCUCUGUGGCCUCUGAUGUCUGCCACUGCCCGACCCCUGACACCAUGCAGCCUUCAGCUAAGAGACUAAUUAACCUCCGCAAGCUGAGAUACUGACUAUAUAACUAGGAAACAACCACAUGUGACUCUUUCCAGUUAGUAAAGAACUCUCAGCAUAUUGCUUCUGUUUAAUCCUGAAUCAAUCUUGCAGAGCAGGUGUAUCACUCCCAUUUUACACAUAAGGAGACAGACCCCAAGGAUGUUAGUGGCAUGCCCAGCCAUCACCCAGUGAUGGAGCCAGCACUCAAACCUGGAUCAUUUGACCCUAAAUCCCAUAUUCUUGAUUGUAAUUGGGUGACCUUCCCUACAAGGCCAAUAAGCAAGUCCCUCAGGUUCAAAAGAUUUAGCUGAGCUGGGCAUCUUGAGGGUGAAGCCUUCUAGGAUACUAAAUCUGAUGAGCUUUUUGAAACAUACACUUGGUCUGGGAAGCAGCAAAGUGAGACACGCUGGCCACCAUUUUGCCUGAGGCCAGCCCCUCAGCUGGCACACCAGCCCCCUUGGGAUAGUUCUCAGCUUGGAGAAGUCUGUCUUUAAAAGAAAAAGAAAAAAAAAAGGUUUGUGCUUUGCUUGCGGAGUCUACAGCUGCCACAGGUUGUUUCCUUCUCACCAGACUGUUUUCUUUGGUGCCACCUCUCUGGGCUUGAAGGUAUUUCCCCACACCCAGGCUGUUACCAGAUCUGAUUUAGAUUUUUUUCCUUAGGGCUUCUACCCAUCAGCAGCCUUCUUCCUUUGGAUCUCACAAGCUUCCAACAACACCAUCUGUGGUUUGGCUCAAACCCUUCUGCCUGUGCUGCCAUCCUGUUCCUACAACACUGCCUUCAGCUAAGAAAAUUGACAAAGAAAUUGCACGGCGGUUGAAUCAAGAAGAAAAGGCCUGAGAUGUAAAACGGAUUCCUCGGCAUGAAGCAAACUCCGUGGGGCAAGUGGGGAGCAGUUUCCCGCCCCACUUCAGUCUCUAGGGGGGACUUAGCUACUGCUGCUGCCCCUCCCACUCCCUGCCUGGAAUAUACUCUCUCCAUCUCCCAGGCCUGUCUGAAUUAGGCUCAUAUUUCAAGAUCUCCCAUGCAUCCGUUUCCCUAGGAAAGCCUCACCUGCACUGACUUCUCCUCCAAGUCCCAUUUCAGAGGUUACACACGCACGAUUUGGCCCUGUGUUGCUCUCCUUGAUUUCACUUCUGUGGCUUCUGUCUCCCUAACUAGACCACAUACUCUUCAGGGAAAGAACCCCACACCUGUUCUUUUGGUGUCCUCUAAAGCAUCAGUAGUACAAAGUGGUACAAACUGGAGACAUCGGAUAAAAACCACGUCAAUGACUUCAGUUCUGUGGAUUCCUCAAAGCUGCUCACUGUUCUAGAUCUUUCCUAAGAAUUCUAACCCGGCUCUUAAUUAGAAUAGACGGUUUCCAUCUGGGAAGAGUCACCCUGCGGACACUCAAGGUGUGUGUGUCUGUUGGUGUUUUGUCACCUCUGUGAAUCAAAUCUGGGGUCUGAACUAGUGCUGCUGACAGCUGCCUGUGGAGUCACCCAGAGCAGCACUUCCCAACCUUUGCUGUGGCCAGGAAUCACCCAGGGAUCUUGUUACAGUGCAGGCUCAGUAGGAUCUGGGCUGAAGCCUGGGAUUCUGCCUUCCUAACAACCCUCAGAGGAUGCUGAUUCUACUAGUCUGUGACCUCACACUUUGAGUAGAAAGAGACCCAGGAACACGUGCGAUCUUGAGACUGAAGAUGCCAUCUGGCAGGGUUAGUGCUGCCUGCUGCCAUCCUAAUCUGAGGCACGUAAAGUCCAACAAGUCCAAUCUUCUCUCUGGCCAGGAAGAAUCCUGUUCUCUUUGUAGCUUUCUUUAUGGGAUUUUACUAAGCCCUACAUUAAUGUCCCUCUCCUCCUUCAAGUCUUCCCUACCUGUAUCAUUUUAUUCCUUCCUAUUUCUUCAAAACCCACCCCUUAGGACCAGCCCAAGCCCUACUUCUUCCAGCAGUGUCCCUGGCCCCUUAGCAACAUUCUCCAGGGUACUUCCUGCCCACACUACUCAUAGGCCCUUAUUAAAGGCCUCCCUGUCUUGGUGGCUUUUCUAUGCAAACGUUCUACUCCUAUAACUGUGCUGUAAGUACCAGGGGAAGGGCACAGACACAACAUCUUCCACUUUCGUGUAUCCUUCAGUGGAACCUGGGCUAGGGCAGACAAACUGGGUAAAUAUUUGCUGAUUGUGAAAGACAAUCAAAAAUGCCCUUUGCUCUUUUCCUUUCCCUCUCAAGGAGGAAAGAAAAAGUGAUCCCAGCUGCCUUGGCCUCCAUCCCCAGCCCAGCCUUGCUCCUCUCCCAGGCGCUGCAGCUGGGGCGGCUUAGAUUUUAUUUCGCUCUCUGCAGCUCCUCUUCCCUUCAGUGAAGAGUUAAAGCAUCGGGAAGGCUCCUUCCCACUUGGAAAUCUCCAUUUCCUCCUGCAGCGUGAACAAGAGAACUCUAUGGACAGAGGCCGAGUGAGCCAACUGCGCAGGGAGUGAACUCACUCUGAAUGGGGCUGUUCUAACACCCGCCAAGUCAAGUCAUUAAGAUGCCAUCCCCGAGGUGCAGCCCCCAGCGUCACCUCUGGAUAUCCAUAUCCUCAAGCCCGCCGGCAGAAAGGAUGAAUGGUGAGCACAGAGCUGGUGAAAGCAAGCUCUUUCAUGAGCAGGGCGUGAGAGGACCUCUCCGGCUCCUCUUAAGGUGGGGGUGGGGCGCUUCGGAGUAGAAGUCGUUCCUCCUCUCUCCCACUGCCUCCUCUACCACACCGAACUAAAAUUAACCCUCAAAUUUACAGGGAGUUACCCAAAAGAUUGCUCCACAAAAGGCAACCAAGAAGGGGGCUGGGUAAUAACAUUAGAAAAAAUAUCUGCAAUGCCAAAAAUAAUCACUGUGUCAUGAGAAAACAGAGCUGGACUGCCUCAGAGGCCAGCACUGGGUAUAUACAGGAAGGAGGGGGCAGAAAUUCCCCUGGCAGUGUCGUCAAACAUUCUGGAUGGAAAAAGGCGGGUGGGGGGCGGGGGUGCACAUAACCGGGACAGACAGUUGUCAGAACUCUUUUCAAGUACAGAAUAUGAUUUUAAGGGUCAGUUCUCUCUUCUUUAUUUCAGACACUUUAAUUUCAAAGAAAACAUUUGUUUAGACUUUUAAUCAGGACUGAUGCUUGAUCACAUGCUAAUAGUGAAAUAUCCUAGGAUCUGCCUUACUAAUCCCAACAUGUUGCCAGAACUUCUGGUUCCUGGAAUUUAAAGUAUUUCAAAACAGCAAGAGAAGGGGGAGAAAGCACGGGAUCCCUCACUCUCCUACCCCCAUCCUCAUAACCCCUUCUCCCCUCCCUAUUAAAAAAAGGAAAGCAAAGAAAGAGGAAAAGUGAAAGAGGAGAGAGCUGGUAGAGAAUCUGUCCUGGGCUUCCUUUAUAAAGAAUCCUGAUCUGAGGCCUGUUCACAUGGUCACAUGUCUAGUAUUGUGGGAUCUGAUUCAUGCCACAGCGCGAACACUUGCUUUCCCCCAAUUCUGCCCUCUCUUGCUCUGAUGAGAAGUGAGAUGUCUGCGCACAUUUCCAUUCCUUUGUAAAGAAGUCAUCAAAAGCCACAGGAAAUGCUAAAAGUCUUUUCCAAAUUUAUUAUCAUGCUCUCAAAUAACAUUGAGCAAUUUGGGAAAUAAAACUGUAUUUUUCCCCCAGCAAUGGCUUAUUCCCUCUGCUCAUUCAAUAUAUAUUAAUGAUUCUCUCUUCCUACGAUGGGGCUGUGAGCAGUAGAAUGAAAUGUGGAACAACUAUGCCUGACCUCAGGGAGCUUGCAGAGAGGUGAAGAGCCAAGUCCUGAAGAAUGGGCUGAACAGUCAGGGCUGUAGGAGUUUGGGAGGAGAAAGCCUGCAAGGCUGGAGAAGACAGGGAGAACUCUGCUGGAGGUUGGCUUUGAAAGAAGAGCAGGAUACAGGGAGGCAAUCAGGAUGGCAGAGGGAUGACAAAGACACACUGGGAAUGGGCAGAGGUGCCAGUGGUCGGGAGACAGGCUAGAGAACAGGGAGCAAGGCAUUGAGAAUCUGGGUGGGGAGAACGCAUUCAUUAAACAGACCUUGUUGAGUAUCCAUAAGGUGCCAAGCACACGAAAGGGCUUUAAACAAAAGGACAGGUAGCUAAAGUCAGAUGCCCGGAUAAUUGCCUAGCCUGUUGUCUGAUUAGUGGCUGAGGUGCCAGGUGGUGGGCAGUGCCAGAACCCAACCUCCAUGCUCCUCCUGCUGGUCAUGCUUUGGCCCUGCUGGACAGCAAGUGUGAGAACCCCUCUUUUCUUGGCACCAAAGCCAAGGAAAAUGAAACCCUCUGUUGGAAGCUCUAAAUAUGGCAGCAAUUCCUGGGCUGCCACAGGCUGGAGCCUCAGCUCAGUCCACAGAGACCUCCGCAAGGCAUUCUUGCUGAACAGUAACUCAUAAAUGUUACCCAUGGGAUGAAAAACAAACUUCACCCAGGGCACACGCCUCCUCUGGCUCUGGUGGUGUUUUAUUUAUUUCCACAGACCUUAGUCCCCAUCUUCUGUUUGUUUCCCUUGCCCCUCACUUUCUUUACCACUGACCAAGAAUAAAAUUUGAGUCAGAUCUUGGGGCAAGGAACAGCUCGCCAGCCCACCACUCUUUCCCCAAAACCAUUUUCAGCUUGUCGCUCCCCCAUUUUAAAAUGAAAAUUGCUCCCCACCAUCCUCAUGAUGAAGUCCAAGCUGGACGUGCUCCUUGAGGUCUCCCAGCCCUUUCCAAACUUAGCUCCUACGAUCCUGUAGCUCCACGCUUACUCCAGCCAGACCACACUAUGCCCUGCCACCCCCAAACUCCGCACCCCUUUCUGCUGCCCAGCCAUGUCCCCAGUUGAUUUGUUCCACCUGAAGUGCUUCUUCCUUUCUGACCUUCUAAACCCUAAAGUUUGAGAGCCAACAUAGGCCUGCCACCUCCACAGAGGCUUUUCUGAGCAUCUUACCGAGCCUACACUGGUGUCUCCUCCUCACUCCUGCCUGGAACACUUAGACAAUCUGUGCUACUUGACUGCAAGGCACCGUCACCUUGUUAGUCCUAGUUUUAAGGUUCUCUGAGGGCACAGGCAAAAUGUCAAACCUCUCAUGUAUCAAAGUACCUUACUCCAACAAUAAUAGUGUCAUACAGCCCUUUCAGUUAUGGUAUGGUGAGCUGGCAUGAAGAUUAAAUCAGUCACGGUCCCCCAGCUGUGGGGGUAUUGCAGAGUUCCAAUGCUUUAGUGCUUCCAGUAGAAAGUGGAUUAAUAAAGGCGAGUGAUGGUGGCUAUAUUCAUCACUAGGUUGCUUAACACCCCAUGACUCCUCACUGUCCCCAGGAAACAAAUCCCUGUAUACUAAGGAUGUUUUCACACAGAAGUAGCUGGCUGUGCCCGCUGUCCACAUCAUGGGUGUGUUUCGUGAGCCAGCUGCUAGUCAGCUCUCACUGACACAGGUGAACAAGUCCGGACAAGGGCAGACCCCUCCCCUCCUGACCCGUCCCAUCCUUAAGAGGCCAGGGAGGUUUCUGCCUCAGAUCCCACCUCCUCGACACUACAGAACAAUCUGUUGCCCAACACCCGUGGCCCAGAGCCCUCACCUCACAUGUGUAGGUGCCCUGCUUGGACUCAGAUUUCUGGCAGAGGAUGCCAGGGCUUGGCCAGGGUUCCACCCUUCUGGUGAUAUAACAUAGAGGUGAGAAAAUGGGCCAAGCCCCAGGGGGAAAAAGCCACUAACACAAAAAUCCUAAGAAACAAAACAAAAAUGAAAACCUAAUGACAUCCCUAAAGAUCAGCAAGUGGGGCUAAAGAACAGCCCACACUUUGGAAAAAACACUGUCCAUUAGCCCAAACUUCAAAAAGUCCACUCUACUCUACUCCUCCGCCUUUGACUUCCCUGCAAG
rnacentral:lncRNA from 1 species